AAUAAUAUGGACCCCGCUAGCUCGCUUUGUGUUAUUGCAUCUGGUUCUUCUAAUGGUUAUAAGCCUAUAGGUGAUGAUAAAAAGGAUCGUCCUUUUCAUGGCGUUAGAACUACAGUUCCAUUGAACAAAUUGAAAUAUGAUCGUGAAGUGUUGCGCGGAGGUUCUCUUGUUUUGGAGAUUAAUCUUUUAGAGGUUUUUCACGGAGGAGAUGUUGUGGAUUCUGAUCAUACUUUUGAUGGUCAAGUGUUUUGGAACUUGUACUCGAAUUGAAUAUUGUACGGUGAGAUAAGUUGAUGUGUGUAUUAAUGGUAUUAUCUAAUAUAAACAUAGGAUUGGACAUAUAGUUGUGUCAAUGUAUUGUGUAAUUUAACUACCUCUAGAUAAUAUUAUCGUUUGUGUAAUGAUUGUAAUUGAUGUUUUGUUGGAGGAUCCUUUAGUAUGCUUAUAAAAAGGAUUCAAGUGUGUUGUAACGAGCAGAGCUCUUCUAAGUCUAGUCCAUAAAUAAAUAAAAGAGUUGACUAUAAUGUAAUAUUGUGGGGUCUUCUACUGUGUCUAUAAAAGGAUCCAAGUGUGUUGUAAUAUGAGUAGAGAUUCAUGAAUUUAGUCUAUAAAUAAAUUAAACAAGUGUUUUAUAUAGUCCUUUUAUGAACAUGUAUGGUCUCAUUUCCUUCAUAAAGCAAUGUAUAGCCGUUGUGACAAAAUCUUAUUACUCAAGUUUACUCAUGAAUCCUUUACACAAAUGUUACAAAUGUAUAAUAACAAAAUUGAAAAGUCAUUUUCACACGUUACAAAUAUAUACUAACAAAAUUGAAAUAACAUUAUUACAAAUUAGAACAAUAUGUAAUAACAAAAAAUAAAUAAAUAAACUCGAGGCUUGUAAAGUUAAUAGUUUAUUUAAAACAAAUUAGAACAAUAUGUUUUAUAUAUUACUGGUGAAGAUGAAGAAGAGAUUCGAAUAACAAGAAAUAACUUAUUAGUUCGCUUCCAGAUGAAAAAGCUUGGUCAGCUUAAGCACUUCCUUGGUCUAGAAGUUAUCGAAUAGAAGAAGGGAUAUUUCUUUACCAACAAAAUUAUGCCAAAGACUUGCUGAAGAAGUUUGAAAUGAUGGAAUGAAAACUAAUCUCAACUCCAUUGGAAGUAAAUGCAAAAUUGUGCACACACGAAGGUAGAGAUUUACAAUAUAGAACAAUGUAUCAACAAUUGGUAGGUAGUUUAAUCUACCUUAUGCUGAAUCAACCGAAUAUUUCAUAUGUCGUAGGUGUCAUGAGUUGGUAAAUGCAAAAUCCAAAGAAGCUUCACUUGGAAGUAGUUAUGUGAAUACUAAGAUAUGUGAAGAGUACAAACAAUUAUGGUUCAUUGUGCAAGAAAGAUGAAAUUACAAGCUGACUAGCUAUUGUGACGCUGACUACGCCGGAGAUCAUGAUACAAAAAGAUUAACUACUAGGUAUGUUUUCAGAAUUAGGUCUGGAGUAGUUUUUUAGUGUAGUAAGAGACAACCAACUGUAUCACUAUCAACCACAGAGGUAGAGUAUAAAACAACAAUGAUGACAUCUCAAAAAAGCACUUGGUUGAUGUAGUUGAUCAAGGAUCUACACCAACUAGUAGAUUAUGUAUGCAAUACCACUGUAUUGCGAUAAUCAAUCGAUAAUCAACUUGGGAGAAAAUCUAGUUUUCCAUGCAAGAACUAAGCAUGUAGAGGUCCAUUAUCACUUCAUCAGGGAAAAUGUCUUACAAGAUAAAGUUGAGAUGCGGUACGUCAAGACAAACAAUUAAGUUACGGAUUUUUUUUUUUAUAAAAAGUCUUUGUACCAUGAAGUUUAAAAAGUUUCGUCAGCAGCUCAAUAUGGAUCGAAUGAUGAAACUUGGUUUUGAGGGGGAGUGUUAAAAGUGCAACACCAAUUUUAUGAUCCAAUUAAAUAACAUUUGUCCAAAUCCAAGUUCAUAACUCAAUCCAUAGAAGACUUAAGAAUUGUGUAGAGAACAUGGGACAUUUCUAAUCUAAAAAUAUUUAAUGAUGAUGAAAAUAUCUUAUUUUAGAAAUCUCUUGAACGGUGAUAUUUAUAAAAUGUGAUUGUUAAAUUUUUAUAAUUUAAUGUUUUGUGUGGUUUGUAUUAGUUUUAGGAUACUAUAAAUACCGCUAAACUCUUUGUUGUAGGCAUCAAGAGAGGAGUGAAGAAUUAGUAGGAAGAAAGAAGAGUGAGCCGUGAGUAUCGUAGUGUUUUUCUUAUAAAAUAUCAAUAAAAUCCUUUAAUUUAGUAAAAUUCUUCUAUUUCUUAAAUAUUUUCAGUCUUAAGCAGCUUCGUCCUUCUUUCUCAACAAAAGCAUUCCAUUUAGUAUAUGAAAAGAAAGUUGUGAGUUUGUGAAGAGAGAAUAAUUAGAAUAUCUUUUGCAAUUGUUAUUUUCCCAAUUUUAAGUAACAGAGUUGCUUUCUCCUAGUAUAAGAGAGAUUGUAAUUGUUCUAUCCUUGUAUUCAAAGAAAAUUGUUAUAAUCCUCAUUUGAAUAGUGAAUUCUUUCUACUUUUGUUGUGGAUUUUUAACCCGGUUUAUUUGGAAUUUUUUCCACUUAAAAUUUGUGUGUCCCAUAUAUCUUCAUUUGUUCUUAAUAUCACUUUGGUUUCGGUCUGAUACGGUCCUUAAUUUCCUAAUAGAAAACAACCGAAACCAUCCAAUAACGAGAGUGAUCUCUGAAAGCUCCAUUGCAGAACAUGGAUAACCGCUGCUUCGGCCAUCUGUAUUAACUUUUACCCAGCCAUGCACUAUCGGGCAAAUUUUAGCAAAAUAUUGAAAAUGAGAGGUAUAACCAACUUGUAUUAGAUGAAAGGAGGAUGGGGUGUUUUCAUAUCGUAGCUCUGUCACGGCAUCGAUGUGAAGAAGAUGAGUUGGUCAUGUCUAAUUAACAAAAAAAAAAAAAAUCCUUUCUGCUAAUCCCAAUUUCAAAGCUUUCUUGUGUCGGACUUUAAUUCUAACUUUGUAAUAUCACACUUUCAAUGGUUAUUUUACCUUUAUAUUCACUAUUGACUUAUAGGGGUGAAAUGAAUAAUUAAAACUCUAUUAUGGAUAUAAAUAACAAAAAAGAAAUUUAUGUGUCGCGGAACUGGUACUCAUAUGAAAAUAACAUUUGACAAUAUCGAACCAUUGGAGCACUAAAUAAAUUAUAGCAUUAUAUAAAAGGGGAUUUGAAUACAUGCUCAUGUUAUGCCCUACGGACUUUCUUUUGUAUUUGUUGGCAAAAAUUUGCAGAUCGUAGAUAUUUGCCCCUAAGGUAACAAAACUGCAAAAGCAUUUCGUGGGUAACAAGUAGUCGGGCUUUUAUCUAGAAUAUCUUUAUUCUUCCAUACCAAUAAAUCACUUAGAUUUUAUGGGCUACGGAUGGAAAUUGUUAAAUUCAUUAUUUAUAGAGUUUGUAUUUUAUGGCAAGUCUAGUUAAAUUAGAAUUUUAUUUAUUGUAUAUUUUGUAAUAGUGAUUAAUUUAUUAAUUCCCUAAUUUAGUGAGAUUUCAAUUUAUUAAGAAUAUUUAUUUCCUAAUUUAAUUAGAUGGCUAACUUAAAAAGUCAAUUAAUGAUGUGAUUCUAUAAUUGGCGCAUGAGCUCUAUUUUGAGUAUGAAGUCAGUUCAAACAUGAAGUUUAUUAAAUGAUUUAGAUAUUUCUUGGAAGACAAGCAAUGUAAGAAAAUUAGAUUUAUUCCUAUUCAGAUUCAUAGGAAUUAUAAAAGAAAAUAAACUCUUAUUUGGAAAGAAUCAAAAUCUUUUAAGAGUUAUUAUUUUUGUGAAAUCCUAGUGCCUAUAUAAAGAGAGGUAUUUCACAAUUGAAGGUGUGCAACACGGAGCAUAAAGCAGGGACGCAAAAUUCGGCAUUCUCCCUAAAGAAUCCUAAUUUGGCACAUAAUAUUGUGUUGAUUUAUUUACUUAUCUUCUUUUCAUAUUUGUGUAGAGUCUAUGUGAAUUUUGGAUCACUAGACAUUAAAAAAUUAAAUAAUUGUUAUUGAUCACUUUGCGAAGUGCGUUAAGUAUCGUGGAUCAAGAGGGGUAGUAAUUAUUUAAGAAAAGCAAAUUCAGUCUGUACAAUGAUAAACUGUAAAUGAGAGUUUUAAGUUUGAUAAAUCUAUGGUUGUAACAUCUCAACUUAGUGAAUUACUUUUCAUCUGAGCUUGACCUCGUGGAUGUAGAAUUAAUUAAUCUGAAUCACGUAAAAAUCUCCGUACCAUUUAAUUUCUGUAAUUUAUUGUAUUUUUGAAAAAUUAAUAUUUUGAUGCGGAUAAACAAUAACCGUAAACAUUAACUAUAAACAAUAAGCGUAAACAAUAAUGAUGAAUAGUAAUGGUAAACAAUAUUUCCGAAAGUUAAUUAAGUUGUUAAUUUUAAAUUUUUAAUUACCUACAUCUAAAUUGCCUACAUUUAGUGCAAUUUUGAAAGGUAUUAAAUUGGCAGCGGACUUGGGGUUUCUUCCGCUACUGAUAGAGUCCGAUUCAGUUAAUGUCAUUAGUCUCAUCUCAGGAAAAAUUAACAGCCAAUUAGAGAUUGAUUGGCUAAUAUCUGAUAUUAAAAGUUUUAUUUGUAAGAAAAGUGUUUGCUAUAAGACACAUUCCCAGAUCCGGUAAUUCAGCAGCUCACAAAGCUGCAAAAAUGGCUCUUGAUCAUGCUGAGUCGCGCACAUGGUUACAGGAUGCGCCUCCUGACAUUGUACCUCUCUUGUAAUGUUAUGGUGUAAUCAAUGAAAAUUUUAUUGUAAAAAAAAAAAUCCUUUCAGAAAUUAAUAUAUACUAUUUUAAUGUGGAAAAUCCCUUCAGAAUUAGUUCGAUAAAUACAAUAUUCAUCCAGUUACCGCAGGCUAAUAAUGCUCAUCCUGGAUAACUCAUGUCGCUUUUUACAUAUGCUGUAAUCUAAUUGGUGUGAUUAUCUUUGUAGCCCUACCUUCUCACUUGGCCAGAAUCGAGGUUAUAUAUGGUCAUGCAAUUAUACAUGAAAAAAGAAUAUCUUUCCAGUAGUUCAUUUUCCCUUUCACAUAGAGCGUACUGAGGAUAUAUAUAUCGGAAACCUGAGAAAACUAAUGAGAUAUUUGAAGGUUAAAGGGGAAGCCGGCUCCGUUAUUAAAAGCAAACUUCUUUAUUUAUUUAUAGACUAGAGUCAAGGAGCUUCACCCGUUACACACUUGAAUCCUUUUUCUAGGCACCAUAAAGGAUCCCAACAAUUAUACAUUACAAGUCAUUACCUUUAUUUAUAGACCAGACACAAGGCGCUCUGCCCAUACAACAUACUUGGAACAUUUUUAAAGGCACACUAAAAGACCAUCCACAACAAAACAUUGAUUCGAUCAUUACACUGGAGGUCGCCUUUUCAUCGGAAAUUGAGAUUUACCUUACCAAGAGGUAAUAUCAACGUUACACAAAACAUGACAUAUAACAAUGUCUAAUCUUAUAUCUAGAUUAGAUUACACAGUACACACCAGCUUAAUUAUCUUACAGUAGUAUUCAAUUGGAAUACAAAUGCCAAUACACUUUACCAUCAAAAGUAUGAUCAGAAUCCAGAACAUUUCCAUGAGGUACCUCUAUAAGAUUAAUCUGCAAAACAAGAGAACCUCCUUCCUGCACAUGACGAUCUUUAUACAGUUCAUCUAAUUGAACCAUAGUUCUAAGGCCAUGAAUAGGACGAUUUUUAUCAAUAGGCCUAUAACCAUUAGUAUAACCAGAUGCAACAACAUCAAAAGAUACUUCAGCAUCCAUAUUAUUGGCGGCUGCAGGAGGCAGAUCUCCUCUCCAAGCAUCCUCGUUAGCUCUGGGAACAAAUAGGACGGCCCAGGAAACAAUAGGAGCCCAACUUCGACCAAACAAACCAAAAUCCAUCCUAUUCAAGUCCUUCAAAACACCAGGAUCUGCAUAACGCAGAAAAAAGUAGUCUGAUUUAAAACCUAUCAAUUUUCGCUGAUCACACGCCAUAUCUUCCGUGAUUAAUGAAAAAUAAGCGCUCAGAAUCAGAUCACUUGCCUCAGAAAUUAUUUUCGUUGCUCUGUCACUCUUUUUUCUGCUGCCGUCCAAAGACAUUUUCACGUCUAUUUAUGCAAGGGAGGAAUUCGAACACAAACAAAUCACAAAUAAUUAUUAAUUAAUUAUAAUAGGACUCUUAAUUAAUGCAUUCCAGCAUCUCCUUCUGCAACGUGUCUGGCGACGUGGUUUUGUCUUCGUCUGUGCUCCGCCUUUCAUUUCUUGGAUAUCUUCAUCAUAGGUAUUAGAGCCAAGUUAAGGUUAGGUAGAUGAUACAAGUCCUCUUCAAAAGGAUUUUGCUAGUAUUAGAGCCUAGUAAUGUAAGAUAUAAUCUCUCGUAAAAUUGUGGGCCUAAGUGGAACCUAUAACUAAAUUUGUAUGAGACUGUACCUUACAUUACACGCUUCCUUUAACAAUUGACACAUGUUAAUUAAUGCAUUCCAGCAUCUCCUUCUGCAACGUGUCUGGCGACGUGGUUUUGUCUUCGUCUGUGCUCCGCCUUUCAUUUCUUGGAUAUCUUCAUCAUAGGUGUUAGAGCCAAGUUAAGGUUAGGUAGAUGAUACAAGUCCUCUUCAAAAUAGCUCUCUGUCACAAGUGGUUCCGGUACGUAGAUCCACGUCUUCUUUUGCAGCGUGGUUUGGCCUUUUCAGUUCUUCUCAUUCUUUGAUUUCUUCGAAUAGUUAUCUACAUCGUGUUUACAGGUUGGGUAAGACUAAGGAUUGGGUUCGCACAGUUCUAAUAUUUUGAUUGGACCAUCCUGCAUCUAUCUCUUAUUUAGUUUAGCAUGACUUAUUUAACAUCAUAAAUAUUUAUUUAAUUUUAUAAUUUUUUAAAUAUUAAAUAAAUUAUUUUUUUAUUAGUAAAAUUUUAAAUUUUGAGUUUUUGAAAAUAGAUUGAAAAAUAUUUUUAAACUAUUAAAAUAUUAUUUAUUUAUUUAAUUAUUUUAUUUCAUUUACUUUAUAACAUAAAUUUAAAAAAAUUACCUAUUAAAAAAAUUUAUAAUUUCUUAAUAAAAACUCUUAUUGAUAGUCAAAUACCUUAAAGUUUUAGUAAAAGUUUGCUUGUAAAAGAUUUAUUAACAAAAGUUAUGCCGAAAUAAGUUUUAUUUGAAAAAUUAUAUCAAGGCUUGAUUUGGUAUCAAAAGAAAAUUAUCAUACACUUAUAUUUUUAUAUUAUCAUUUAAAACUGAAGAGAAGAGUAAAGAAAGAUCAAACCAGAGUGAAGAAGGGUUAACAUAAAAUGAAAGAAAAGCCUCGGGCAUUAUACUAUGAUUUGGGAGAAUGAUGCGUUAUUUAGUUUUGGUGGGUGUAAAAGGAAAACGAAGCUUAAUAAUAUGAGCUUAAAACUCAAUUAAAAUGAGUUUAAUGAAGGGUGGUUUUAGCAUUUUAAAGUGCGAUCAUAGUUAAUUUUAAUUUUUGUAAUUUAUUGAAUAAACUAUUUGCAAUGAAUUAAGAAAAGUAAUCAAUAAUUAUAACAAUAAAAGUAAUUAUUAUUGAAACGACCCACCUCGAACUUCAAGAGCAAAUCUAUCUAAUUUCUUUUAACGUGAUUAGUAAAACGUAUUUGCUAAAAUUUUCCAACAUGCAAAUCUGCAAAACAAACACUUUCAAAAUAAUUCAAUACACAACAAAAUUCAUUGAUCAACCUUCUCAACCAUGAUAUUGAAUAUCACCUAAACACUUAUAAAGUAUCAAAAGAUUAUAUUAUAGCUAAUGUCAACAUAUAUUAAACAUUCAUAAGCAUCAAAUCAUAAUACAAUUAUACAAUCCAAAAUGAGAUGAUCUAAAUGCCCUAAUAAUAUCAUUUAUAUCUUUUAGCACCAUCACGUGGCCAAAAUUCAAAAAUACUACAGUCGUUGGGUCGAUUAAUGUAUCCACAACCUUCUGUGGGGGAAAAGUAUAGUAAAAUGGGAUGAAUAUAAAACUCAAUGAGUGAAUAAUAACUUUUGAAAAUAAUAUAUUUUAAAAUAUUUAUAUAUUUUCAAUAUACUAUUUUCAUCAAACUAUAAGUAAGAACAUAGAUGAAUUAUUCGAACUUUAAAUCAAACAACUGUCGUUUUAAUUUUAAAGUGUGAUCGUAGUAAAUUUUUAUUUUGUUAAUUUAUUGAAUAAACUAUGUACAAUCAAUUAAGAAAAAUAAUCAAUAACUAUAACAAUGAAAGUAUUGAUUACUGCAACGACCCACCUCAAACUUUGAGGGCAAGUCUAUCUAAUUUCUUCUAACGUGAUUAGUAAAACUUAUUAAUGAGGAUUUUGCUAAAAGUUCAUCGACAGAGUCUCCCCCUAUAUUUAUAAAAUUUCUAACAUGCAAAUCUAAACACUCCCAAAAUAAUUCAAUACACAACUUGAAAUACUAACUAGGCAACCCAAGAGGGGGGGUGAAUUGAGAUUUUAUAAAUUAAGUUAAGCAAACACACAACAAUUCAAUCUAAUGCCUCAAUAAAUUCGAAAACAAUAAAUUCAAUGAAAGCACAAUAAUAAAUGAGCAAGGGAAGAGAAAGCAAACUCAAUGAUUUUUACGUGGUUCGGCAAUCCCCGCCUACGUCCACGCCUCUUAGCAUUUUCAUUUUUGAGCUCUACCAUUUUCUUUUUAAGACAUGCAUUCUUUUUACCAAUUUUCAUACACUCAUCAUGCAAUUCUUUAAAAGUAUCAUGUAAUUCAUCAUAAGUAGGAAGAUCAUUUACCUAAUCAAGUUCAUCAUUCGAUUCAUCUCCAAUUGCCAUAAGAGCUAGAUUUGUCAUUUCUUGAUGCUCUUCAUCAUCACUUGUUUCCUCCUCGCUAUCAUCCCAUGUGGCUACCAUCGCUUUCUUCUUGAGCUUGUUGAGAAGAGGGCAUUCCGAUCUUAUAUGGCCAGGUUUCUUGCACUCAUAACAUUUGAUUACUUCAUUCUUCUCCUUUUGGUUCUUGAGGUCUCUAAAUUUUCUUCGCUCACUGGAUUUCUUAAAAAAAUUUCUAAACUUCCUAGCCAGCAUAUCCAUCUCCUCCUCAUCCAGCUCGCUUUCCUCAUCACUCUCAUAUUUCGAGGCUUUGAGAGCAAUACUUUUCUUCUUCUCCUCAUUGCCUUUUUCGGCUGCCAAGUCUUCCUCAUAAGAAAUAAGAGAACCAACUAAAUCAUCAAUAGGUAAGAUAUUUAAAUCUUUGGCUUCCUCAAUGGCAGUCCUUUUUUGUCUCCAUUCCUUACAUAGCGACCUAAUAAUUUUCUUAACUUUCUCGCUAUUUGAAAAAGUCUUUCCUAUGGCUCCUAGAGUGUUCACUAUGUCCGUAAAUCUAGUAUACAUAUAAUACACACUCUCAUUUUGUUCCAUUUGGAACAAUUCAUAUUGUCGAGUGUACCUACUAAUUUUAGACUCUUUCACUUGAUUCGUGCCUUCAUAAACAACUUCAAGUUUGUGCCAAAUUUCAUUAGCACUCUCACAACUAGAUACUCUAUGAAAUUCUUUCUUAUCUAGUGCACAAAACAAGGCAUUCAUAGCUUUGGAAUUUAGAGUAGCUUUUCUCUUUUCUAAUUCAUUCCAUUCCCGUGAAGGUUUUGGAAUAUCUUCCCCGACUUCAUUUUUAGUCAAAGGCAUAAAAAGACCAUCACAAACAACUUCCCAAAUUUCAUAAUCAAGUGCUUGUAAAUAAAUUCUCAUCAUAGUUUUCCAAUACGGGUAGUCAUUUCCGUCAAAGAACGGUGGUUUAAUUGUGGACUGUCAUUCUCUAAAGGUUGAGUCAUUAUGGGUUGCCAUAGAUCUUUAACUCUAGACGGUUAAGUCUAAACAAGAGCACCUCGCUCUGAUACCAAAUGAAAUACUAACUAGGCAACCCAAGAGGGGGGUGAAUUGGGAUUUUAUAAAUUAAGCUAAAAAAACACACAACAAUCCAAUCUAAUGCCUUAAUAAAUUCGAAAACAAUAAAUUCAAUGAAAGCACAAUAAUAAAUGAGUAAGGGAAGAGAAAGCAAACUCAAUGAUUUUUACGUGGUUCGGCAAUCCCCGCCUACGUCCACGCCUCCAAGCACACCGGGUUUGAGGAUUUCACUAUUCGAGCCUUUCCAAUGCUUCAAUCGUUUACAAUUGACUUCAAGGUGUCAAUGAACCUUUAAAACAAGAGAUUAUCUCUCCAAUCUCUUCACCCCAAGUGUUUCUCACACUUGUACACUCACAAUUUGAUGAGAAAUAAAAAUUACAACAAUGAAACUCUCUUUAAGAGUGGAUAUACAAAUUGAAGAACAAAGAUGAUUUAAUAAAUGAUGAUUUACGAAAUUGAAGCUCAAUAUAUGUUGUGUGCACUUGUUUUUGCUUGCCAAGAUUACCAAAAAUGAAUUGGUUUUGAGUUUAUAUAGUUUGAGCUCAAAAACUAGUCGUUAUGCACUUUUUGGUCAUAACCGGCUUAUUGUUUAUGGAAUCCGGUUAGCCGCUUGUAUGUUACCGUUACAGCCAAAAUUUAAAUUUUUGAACAUCCAGUAUGCCGCUUAUAAAAUCCGGAUAGCCGUUUAUGCUCUAGAAGCUUACUGCCCAACAACCAUAUUACCGUUUGUCAGGAUCCGGUUAGCCGCUUUCAAUUCGGAUAGAUUCUGCCCAACAUCCGGCUUAUCGGUUUUUCACAUCCGGUUAGCCGCUUGCUACAGUGACUGCUACAGUGAACUAUUUUAUAAAAUUAUAGUUUAACCCCAAAACUUUCCAUAACUGUACUAGGGCCCAACACGUUAUAAAUUUGGCAAAUAGGUCCAAUUUCAGAAUCUCUAAAUAAUAUUUACUAUUCUCAAAACUUUUUAAAAUUAUGAUAUGGCCCAAAAUAAUAUGAAACUGUUCAAAUAAGUCCUUUUCUAAAAUUUCAAGUAAUACUUGUUGAUUUCAAAGUUUUUAAAAUUCUUUCAAUUAAACCAUAAACUUGAAAAGCAACCAAUUUCAUAAAAUCAUUUUUCUAUUAAAUAUGAAACCUUUAUAAUGAGAAAAUAAUGAUUUAUUUAAAAAGUAUAAAAAAUAAUUUGAACUUAAAAGAUUAAUCAUUCUUAAUCUUGUUUGUUAUCAUCAAAAUCAACAUUAUGGAAACAUAUAUGUUAACAAUCUCCUCAUUUUUUAUGAUGACAAACAUUUCAUGUAUUUAAAGAAUGAUUCCGCAAAUUGCUCCCCUAAAUAUAAUCUUCUCUUACAAUUUGCCAAUUAGCUAAAUUAACAGAUUUAAAUAUAUGGAUUUUUCUCCCCCUUUAUCAUUAAAAAGAAAACUUAAUUGGCAAAGAAAAAGAGUAGUAAAUUUUUAUAAAUUUAAAAAUAUGUAUUAUUCUCCCCCUUCAUCAUCAAAAAGAAAACUUAAAGGAAAAGAAUAAGAGUAGCAAAUUUAUUACUCAUGUUUGUCCAAGUAGAAAUUUCAACACAUUCUCCCCCUAACAACAAGCAUUACCUUAAAUAUAAGUUUAGUAAUAUUACUCCCAAAUUAUUAUAAAUCAUGAUACAAGCCAACUCCAUACACAAAUCAUCACACCAAAAUAUCAUGAACCAUUAUUCCAUUAAUUACCAUAUAAAACAACUAUGUAAUUAAUCAUCAUUAUCUCAAAAUCAUUAUCAUAAUCAAAUAUCAAUCAUUAAAAGAAUACUCAAAGUGUAUAUUAUUCUCCUCAUUUUAACAACAUCGAAAUGAUAUAUUACUUUGUCUCCCCCUUUGGACAAUAAAAAAGUUCAAAAUGCAUAUUAUUCAAAAUCAUAUUAUAUGAUCCCCCUAAAUAUAUGACCAAUUUAAAAUUUUAACCAAAAUAAUUUUAUCCCAAAACAUAUCAUAUUUGUCUCCCCCUAUCAAUCAUCAAAACCUCAAAUCAAGCACAUUAGUUCAAAAUUAUCCAAAACAUAAGUAAAGAACAUAACAUAUAACUAUAUCAAAUCCAUAUAAUUCAAAACAGACACAUAAUCCAAAAUCAUAGCAAACAUCCAUAUAAUCCAAAUGCAAAAUAAAAGAAAAAUAAAAUAGUAAAUGUUGGUGUGUUCAAAUACAAGUAUAAAGGAUUUGAAGUGAAAAAUGAUGAGAUUGAUGGAUUUUAGAGAGAUCUUGCGUGAGAGAGGAAGCGAUUUUUAGUGAGAGAGUAACCGAUUGACUGAAUGAAGGAGAAGAGGAUGAACAAAAUUUGAAUGCCCGAAUUUGGCUUACCGGAUUUCACUAACCGGUUAGCCAGUUGGGGUCCAGUGAGUGUACAACCUGAAUUCGGGUUUCCGGUUUACAUAACCGGUAAUUCGGUUAACUCCUGUGAUGAAUGGUCACGAAUCCGGUUAUCCGGAUAUUCCUAACAUGUUAAUCGGUUGGAGGCAGCAAGUAAGCAACGCGAAUCCGGUUUGCCGGAUCUCAUAACCAGCUAUCCGAUUGUGUCCAACAAGCAUCAAACUAAAUCCGAUUUUCCGGAUUUCAUAACCGGUUGACCGAUUCUUUCCAGAAACCAAAUUCUCUUCAAACGAGUUAUUGGUUUUCCAAUCCGGUUAUCCGAAAUAUGACUUAGAGAAUAAUCAAUAAAAAGGAUGGUUUUCCGGUUGAUUAAAAGAGGUUUAUCGGUUAAAAUAUAGAGAAUAUUUUUGAAGUUUAGUAAACUCUUAGACUUGUAUUACACACACCAAUUUAUUUUUAGCUUAAAAAUUGAUCAAUUUUUGAAUCAUUUUGAGAUUCAAAAUUUUUCAAUAAGUCAUUUAAUGCAUGAGACAUAAAUGUAUACAAGACCAAACAUAUGAAAUCGUAUCAAACAAUGAUGUCAAUUUUAUAAAUGAAUGAUGAUAUAAACACAAUUAAUGGCAUAUGAAUUCACACAUAUAUAAGAGAUGGACAAUGAUGAUAGACAAUUAAGAAGAUGAAAUCAAAGACCAUACAAUCAUCAAAAUCAAACAAAGACAUCAUGAUAAAUCACUCAAUGUUAUACACAAUGAUAAUUCCAUCAUGUAAACAUACAAGCAUACUUUCGCAAAUUCAUUUAACAUGAUUCAUUCAACAAAAUUAAUAUGGCAAGAAUUGUUACCAAAACAAUUAAAUCAUCUUGCCUCAUCUUUUUCUCCUAGAUCAUACUCAAGUGAUUAUCCUCACAAGCUUUCAUCAAGGAACUUCUCCACCAUUCCUUGAUUGUGGUACCUACAAAGAAAACAUUCACGUUGUGCCCUUUGGUACCCAAAUACUCUUGGGUCCUUGAGUGUUAGCAAUGGUUCCUUUUGGAACCCAAACACAUUUUACUCCAUAAUAUACUUUUCUUUUAAUAGGACAACCAAGCUUCAUGUGACCGUUUUGAUUACAAUAAUGACAUACAACUUGAUUGUUAAUAGAUGUACUCUUCACAAAGUAGUUCUUAUAAUACUUUUGUUUCAAAUUUGGCUUAUAACCAAGUUCUCCUUUAUCAAACACACAUUUUUGUGAAUUAAUCAAGUUAUCCAACAUCUUUUGUCCAUUUGUAAAUUUUAAAACAAUCUCAUUUAACUCAUUGCUCUUCUUCUUAAGCAUUUCAUUUUCCUUUUUCAAGUCAUCUAUGUGAUAUUCUAUAUGCUCAUGUGAAGUGCUAGGUUUCCCAUUUGAUAAUGCAACUCUAUCAUGCAAUGUUUUAUUCUCUAAUUCUAGGCAUGUAAUCUUUGCACAUAGAGAUUCAUUUUCAUUUUUGAGCUCUACCAUUUUCUUUUUAAGACAUGCAUUCUUUUUACCAAUUUUCAUCCACUCAUCAUGCAAUUCUUUAAAAGCAUCAUGUAAUUCAUCAUAAGUAGGAAAAUCAUUUACCUCAUCAAGUUCAUCAUCCGAUUCAUCUCCAAUUGCCAUAAGAGCUAGAUUUGUCAUUUCUUGAUGCUCUUCAUCAUCACUUGUUUCCUCCUCGCUAUCAUCCCAUGUGGCUACCAUCGCUUUCUUCUUGAGCUUGUUGAGAAGAGGGCAUUCCGAUCUUAUAUGGCCAGGUUUCUUGCACUCAUAACAUUUGAUUACUUCAUUCUUCUCCUUUUGGUUCUUGAGGUCUCUAAAUUUUCUUCGCUCACUAGAUUUCUUAAAAAAAUUUCUAAACUUCCUAUCCAGCAUAUCCAUCUCCUCCUCAUCCAGCUCGCUUUCCUCAUCACUCUCAUAUUUCGAGGCUUUGAGAGCAAUACUUUUCUUCUUCUCCUCAUUGCCUUUUUCGGCUGCCAAGUCUUCCUCAUAAGAAAUAAGAGAACCAACUAAAUCAUCAAUAGGUAAGAUAUUUAAAUCUUUGGCUUCCUCAAUGGCAGUCCUUUUUUGUCUCCAUUCCUUACAUAGCGACCUAAUAAUUUUCUUAACUUUCUCGCUAUUUGAAAAAGUCUUUCCUAUGGCUCCUAGAGUGUUCACUAUGUCCGUAAAUCUAGUAUACAUAUAAUACACACUCUCAUUUUGUUCCAUUUGGAACAAUUCAUAUUGUCGAGUGUACCUACUAAUUUUAGACUCUUUCACUUGAUUCGUGCCUUCAUAAACAACUUCAAGUUUGUGCCAAAUUUCAUUAGCACUCUCACAACUAGAUACUCUAUGAAAUUCUUUCUUAUCUAGUGCACAAAACAAGGCAUUCAUAGCUUUGGAAUUUAGAGUAGCUUUUCUCUUUUCUAAUUCAUUCCAUUCCCGUGAAGGUUUUGGAAUAUCUUCCCCGACUUCAUUUUUAGUCAAAGGCAUAAAAAGACCAUCACAAACAACUUCCCAAAUUUCAUAAUCAAGUGCUUGUAAAUAAAUUCUCAUCAUAGUUUUCCAAUACGGGUAGUCAUUUCCGUCAAAGAACGGUGGUUUAAUUGUGGACUGUCAUUCUCUAAAGGUUGAGUCAUUAUGGGUUGCCAUAGAUCUUUAACUCUAGACGGUUAAGUCUAAACAAGAGCACCUCGCUCUGAUACCAAAUGAAAUACUAACUAGGCAACCCAAGAGGGGGGUGAAUUGGGAUUUUAUAAAUUAAGCUAAAAAAACACACAACAAUCCAAUCUAAUGCCUUAAUAAAUUCGAAAACAAUAAAUUCAAUGAAAGCACAAUAAUAAAUGAGUAAGGGAAGAGAAAGCAAACUCAAUGAUUUUUACGUGGUUCGGCAAUCCCCGCCUACGUCCACGCCUCCAAGCACACCGGGUUUGAGGAUUUCACUAUUCGAGCCUUUCCAAUGCUUCAAUCGUUUACAAUUGACUUCAAGGUGUCAAUGAACCUUUAAAACAAGAGAUUAUCUCUCCAAUUUCUUCACCCCAAGUGUUUCUCACACUUGUACACUCACAAUUUGAUGAGAAAUAAAAAUUACAACAAUGAAACUCUCUUUAAGAGUGGAUAUACAAAUUGAAGAACAAAGAUGAUUUAAUAAAUGAUGAUUUACGAAAUUGAAGCUCAAUAUAUGUUGUGUGCACUUGUUUUUGCUUGCCAAGAUUACCAAAAAUGAAUUGGUUUUGAGUUUAUAUAGUUUGAGCUCAAAAACUAGUCGUUAUGCACUUUUUGGUCAUAACCGGCUUACUGUUUAUGAAAUCCGGUUAGCCGCUUGUAUGUUACUGUUACAACCAAAAUUUGAAUUUUUGAACAUCCGGUAUGCCGCUUAUGAAAUCCGGAUAGCCGUUUAUGCUCCAGAAGCUUACUGCCCAACAAUCGGAUUACCGUUUGUCAGGAUCCGGUUAGCCGCUUUCAAUUUGGAUAGAUUCUGCCCAACAUCCGGCUUACCGGUUUUUCACAUCCGGUUCGCCACUUGCUACAGUGACUGCUACAGUGAACUAUUUUAUAAAAUUAUAGUUUAGCCCCAAAACUUUUCAUAACUAUACUAGGGCCCAAAACGUUAUACAUUUGACAAAUAAGUCCAAUUUCAGAAUCUCUAAAUAAUACUUACUAAUCCCAAAACUUUUUUAAAAUUAUGAUAUGGCCCAAAAUGAUAUGAAACUUUUCAAAUAAGUCCUUUUCCAAAAUUUCAAGCAAUACUUGUUGAUUUCAAAGUUUUCAAAAUUCUUUCAAUUAAACCAUAAACUUGAAAAGCAACCAAUUUCAUAAAAUCAUUUUUCCACUAAAUAUGAAACCUUUAUAAUGAGAAAAUAAUAUUUAUUUAAAAAGUAUAAAAAAAUCAUUUGAGCUUAAAAGAUUAAUCAUUCUUAAUCUUGUUUGUUAUCAUCAAAAUCAACAUUAUGGAAACAUAUAUGUUAACACAACUAACUUCAUUGAUCAACCUCCUCAACCAUAAUACUGAAUAUCACCUAAACACUUCUAAAUUAUCAAAAGAUUAUAUUAGAGCUAAUGUCAACAUACAUUAAACAUUCAUAAUCAUCAAAUCAUAAUACAAUUAUACAAUCCAAAAUGAGAUGAUCUAAAUGCCCUAAUAAUAUCAUUUAUAUCUCCUAGCACCAUCACGUGGCCAAAAUUAAAAAAAAAAAAUACUACAAUCACUGGGUCGAUUGGUGUACCACAACCUUCUUCAGGGGGAAAGUAUAAUAAAAUGAAAUGAGUAUAAAACUCAAUGAGUGGAUAAUAGUUUUUGAAAAUAACAUAUUUUAAAAUAAUUAUUUCUUUUCAAUACACCAUUUUCAUCAAACUAUAAGUAAGAACAUAGAUGAAUUAUUCGGACUUUAAAUCAAACAACUGUCGUUAAAAGAAUACAUGAUAUUAUACAUAAUAUACAAGGAAAUCAUAUCAAAAUAUAAUAUAAAAUACUUGAUUAUGAAAUUGUCACUAAAUAGUACCUAAGUAAAUAAUCUUGUCAUUCUCGCACCUCUUAUCGAUGGUGAAAUGACGUACUAUCUGAGUACUAUCAUGUCCGGAGCUAGAACGAGUAGACCAAUGGCAUGCUAUCUCAUAUAUCUCAUCAUAUCUCCUUAUAUUUCAUGUAAAAAACAAUCCCUACAGGACAAAAACACCCAAGCACACAACCCAAAAUCUUUGUGUAUAUUCAGACGGGACCCAAAGAUCUCUAGCUCAAUUGUAAUCUCUACAACUGAAUCUAUAUCUCUGUAUCUGAAAAUGUAUCUAUAGGGGAGGAGUAUUGUCAAAUGAUUUUGAAAACAAACUCUUAUACACUUGUAGAUAAACAUAUAAUCAUACUUUAAACUUCAUUUCCUUUUUCAUUAACAUACUGUAAAUCUAUUUUUCUUUUCUUUAAAAUACUCUUAUGCGUUUACUCAACAUAGAGAAGCAAAAGUAAUCAUCAAAUACGCUUUAACAAUAUAUUAAUACAUAAAUAAAACUCAUUUAUAAAACCAUUAAAUCAAAACAUUAAACUCUUGUUUCAUAUGCAUGCGUUACUUUACUUAAUUUAAAAAUCAUAAUAAAUUAUAAAGAUGGGUUUAGUAUAUUCCAUUUGCAAUGAUGAUGCUCAAGCUCAACUAUUAUCGACAUCCGCAGAUUGACUCACGUUUAUGGCUCCUCUAAAUUGUGGAACGACAUAAUUACUUUUUUGAAUAUAUGAAAUACAACUAGCUUUAAGCAAGAUAGCUCUCAAUGAAUAUUUAUCCCACAAUGUACAACUCCCGAAACCAUACUUGUAAGAUAAAAAUGACCAUAAUAUACUCAAAGCCAUAAUUUACACCUUAUACCUAAAAUUCCAUACUCCUUAAAUUUUUCAUAUGUUAUAAUACUAAUAAAUCUUCCACAUUAUCAAAAAUCUCAUAAUUAACCAUAACCUACCUAAACAUGAUGCAUAACUAUAAGCUAUUUACAUACCGAAAUGAGGGAACGAUGAGGGCUACGCGUUUCUAGGUGUACAAUGCCUCAUUGGUGCCCUUGUGCAUCUAUAAUAAUCCACUAGUUACAAAACUUAGCUUCGGACAAUCUUUACCCAUUUGUUAGAAACCUUAACUAUAAAUAAAGUAUACAAAUCUUUAAAUUAACUUCAUUCCCAUGAGAUCCAACUUCGAAUAAAGAUAACAUGAUAGAAAUCUUACUUCCUUUGGUGAGAAAAACCAACUUGGAAGCUUGAAUCACUUCCUUCUCACUUAAAUCCCCUCUCUACACUUACAUUUAAAUUCCUCUUUAAUGGAUGUUUUCAAAAGAAUUUAGGGACGGAAACACUCUAGAAUAACUCUCCAUUCCAAGCUUUCCAAGAUCCAAACUCAAACUUUGAAAAAUUUCCCCAUUUUUCUCCUCUUUCCCAUUGCUCCUCUUCUCCUUUUCUUUUUUGCCUUUUUUUUUUCAAAUCAAUACAUAUAAAAUCCAAUGGAGACUAACGGGCUUUCAAGUAAGGGUGGAUGUUCAAAUUGGUAUUUGUUUUAUUCUUUAUUAAUCUGGCCUGGAUUUGAGAUUUUGGAACUAUAAGUGGCUGGUUACUGGGAAAUUUUUGAAAAUGAAAUUGUUGUAACCUAAAUUGGACCCAAACUGAAAUUGAGACCUAAAUUUUCAAACCGAACCAAUCCAAAGUUUGAUCCCAAAUAGAACCGAGUCGAACUAAAUUCGGUUCGGUUCUGUUUGGGUUCAUGUUUUGAACCUAAUUGGGUUGAAUACUCUAACCAGAUCAGGUUGUAACCUAACUGGAACUCGAACAACCCGAAUCGAAACCCGAUAUGCCCACCCCUAUUUUAAAGCCUACAGACCAAUGGAAGAAAUGGAAAGAAAAAAUAUGUUACAGUUAUUAACUUGAUUCUUGGGCAUUAUAAUCUCAAUAUUUAACAUGAUUUUGUUUCUCAUAUUAGUUUCUAUCUUCUGCGUUGAGACCUAGAGUCUUAUUUAUGUUGGCAUCUUGUAAGGGUUGGCAUUCUUAUUGAAUUGUAAUUCAUAAAUUGAAGGCUAUGUUAAUUGGGAGAUUUCUUAAUUUAGUUAUUUUCUUAAAAUUAGGAUUUAAGUCUUUUCAUUUUAAGGAUUUACUUAGAACACAAAGAGUCUAAUUUUGGAAGCAAAUCAAAAUUAAAAAAAAAAAAAAAAGGCUCUCUAUAACUUGUUAUAGAAGUUAUACAUUGAAGAUAGCUCAUCACAAGCAGAAAAAUAGAAUUUUAAGGUCGAUUGCUAUAAAUAGUAUUAGAUGAACAAUAUUAGUUAAUAGUGUCUAUUGAAACUAUUCAUUGAACUUUAAUCUUUAUAGGGUAAACGCUUAUUUAGUCCCUAUAUUUUCACUCAAAUAUAUGUUUAGUCUCACAUUAUAAAAUAUAUCUCAAAAUACUCAUAUAGUUAAAUAUGUUACACUCUUAACCUUUUUUAGUUUUAUGAUAACACCCUUCAAACAACAUUCUUGACAUGAAUUAAGGUAUCUAUAAAAAAAAGUUAAUUAGCAUCUUAACCAAUAAUUAAUUAUUAGCAAAUUAAUUAACAAAUACCACUGUGAAAGAACUAAUAUUUUUGUACUAUUGCAAGAAUCUUACUAAUAAUUAUUUAUAAAUAAAUUAAUAUUAGCCAACUUAAAACAAUGUUUAUUAAUAUCUUUACAACAAUUUUAAUAAUAAUUUUUUUAUAAAAAUUAAUUUACUAAAUUAAUUCUAAAAGUAAAAUAAUAAUAUAAAAGUUUGGAUAAAUUUUUAUGUUACUUUAAAGAUAAAUUUUGGUAAAUUAACAAUUUUUAUUGAUAUCCCAAGAAUAUUGUUGCAAGAGUGUUAUCAUAAAAAGAAAAAAAUUAAGGGUAACAAAUUAAGGGUAGGAAUGAAACAUAUUUGACCUCAUGGGUGUCUUGAGAUGUGUCUCUCUGUGUGUAACACUUAAAUCAAAAUAUAGGGAUUAAAUAAGUAUUUACCUAUUUUAUAUUCAUCCCACUCUUAGACAUACUUUUGGUGUGUUUCGGAUUGAGGUUGAGCAGCUGUAGCUUUUAAGCUACAACACUAAAGUGUUUGGUAAACACUAGCUGAUGUACCUUGAAAGUUAUGUUAAUAUGAUUUUUCACUUGUAUAAUAAAAAAUCUAUUAUAUCUUUAAUGAUUUUUUCAAAAUUAUUAUUUAAAAUUUAUAUUUACUAUAUAUUAUUGAUUUUUGUUUUAUAGUUACAGUUUUGUUUCCAUAGCAGUUGUAGCUUAAAAGUUAUAGCACCUCAAUCUCAAACAGGACCUUUGUUAAUUGGUCUCUCUUCGUUAAUUGGUCUCUUCCAAAAAAGAUGUUGUUUGGAGCAGUUAAGGAAUUUCAUAUCAAGGUUAUGAACAAGAAGACAAAUGGUUCUCGCAAAUUACAUAUGCCUUAGUUGACUGAGAUGGCGGCAAAAGUAAAUUUUCCUACAUAUUAAAAUACUAAAUGUGAUAUAAGAACCAACUAUAAGCAAGUUAAAUUGAUGAUUUGGUAUAAUUACAAUAAUUAUUAUUUUUAAUUGAUCUGUGGGUUGAAAUGACUAUAUAAUCAUUCUUAAGUGCGAGCAUCCAUUUUUUUUUGGGAAAAUGACAAACACACCCCCAACGUUUAGGCAAAGGGAUAAAAAACCUCCUAACGUUUUAAAAAAGACAUUUACACCCCAACUUAUUAUAAUUUUACCAUUAUACCCUUCUAGCAUAUAAAAAAAAUUAUUAGAUUAUCUAAUUUGUCUAUAUAUUGUUAAUAAAAUUAUAAAUAGAAAAAUUGGAUAUUAUUAAAAAAAUUAUAAAUAUACCCUCAUUGCCCAAAUCUUCUAUUUAAAUUUUUAUCAAUAACCAAUUUUCAAAAAAGACAUCUAUACACCUAAAAAAUUAUAAAUAAAUUAUAAUUUUAAAAAUAAAAUUGGUUAUUAAUAACCAAUUUUAUUUAAAAUUUAAACUUUUAUAUUUAACAAUUCUCCACAUGUCAAUCAUUUAAACCUGUACAUUUAUAACCAAUUUUCUAUGUUAUUUAUUAUGGUAUUAAUAACCAAUUUUAUUUUUAAAAUUAUAAUUUAUUUACAAUUUUUUUUAAGUGUGUAGAUGUCUUUUUUGAAAAUUGAUUAUUGAUAAAAAUUUAAAUAGAGGAAUGAUGCAAUGAGGGUAUAUUUAUAAUUUUAUUAACAAUAUAUAGACAAAUUGGAUAAUCUAAUAAUUUUUUUUAUAUGUUAGAAGGGUAUAAUGGUAAAAUUAUAAUAAAUUGGGGGUGUAAAUAUCUUUUUCAAAACGUUAGGGGGGCUUUUGUCCCUUUGCCUAAACGUUGGGAGUGUGUUUGUCCUUUUUCCUUUUUUUUUUUUAAUACGGAUACACUCUUAAACUGUAUAAUUAAAAAAGAUACGUUUUGAAAUAAAUUACAAUAUUGUACUGUUUAAAAGAAUUAAAAACUAACUCUCUUUAAUUUCACAACUUAAAAACGUAGCCAAAAGGAAAUUUUAGGGUGGCGGCAUUGAAAAAAAACACAUAUAUUGCUUAUCAAAUCUAAGAUUAAAAUUCGGAAUUAAAAUUUGAGACGGAUAUAAAAUAUCGUAUAAGUAAUUUAGGAUGCCAUAAAUUCAUACUGGUGUCUAGUUCUAAACUUUAUCUCCAGAUUUCAAACAUUCAUCGCUUUGUGGCCCCUAUUUUCUUUGUUUUUCUAACUUUCUUCCGGUGGCGGAGCCCACCAUUGGAAGAAGUUAAUUUUUUUUUUGACAUUUUUUUCAUUGUCUAGCCCACCACCUUGUUUGACUCUUCUCUGGAAAAAGUUACUUUUUUGGGUUUUUCAAUAUGCUAUAAUUUUUUUACAGCAUCAAUAAUAUUUUUAAUUGUGUAUCAUUAAAUUUAAUUAAUGAUAUAUUUAAUCAAUGGUAUAUAAUAUUUGUAGUAAAAAAAAAUAAUAAACGGUUAUUAAAUGUGUAAGGGGUGGAGAAUUUUAUAAAAUAACUAUGACCAUCCUUAGAGUUUGAAAUAAUUUCACUUAAAUAGCAUAUUUUAUUUAAAAUUAUUUUUCAAUCCUCCUUUAAAUUUGAAUUGUGAUAAUCUUUUUUAAAUAAAUCUUCCAAAAUCUAUUACCAUGAAGUAUAAAAUAUAAUGGUAGGUUAUUUAACACAAAUCAAAUAAAUAAGUUGCAAUUAUAAAAUUUAUAUAUGAUAUAAUAGUAAUAAAUAACACAACUAAGUACAUAUACUUAAGUAAAUGCAUAGUUACAUCAAUAAACUCAUUGUUGAGAUUGCUUGUAACAUAAAAAUUACUUGAUCACACAUGUUUUAAUAAAAUUUAAUAUCGUAUAUUAAAAUACUUAUUAUUUUAUAUAAUAUUAAGGGUCAUUGUAUAAUUAAUCAUGAAGUGUGUAUUAUUUUUAACACCCAUUUAACAUGCUUAUUCUCUGAACUUUAUAUUUAUCUUACAAUUAAUAUCCUUACAUGGUAGGAAUUUUAAGUUUUAUAAGCCUAUAUAUUUUCAUUUUAUUUUCAAAUAUCACUUUGUUAAUUUCAUAAAAGUUAAAUCUAAUAUAUAUUCCUAAUGAGCUUUAGUUUAUGAAUCGUGAAAGAUUAUUUUAUUGAUAUCAUUUGAUUGUAAUUAUAAAAUUUUAUGUUAUUAAGAGUCAUUACUUUUGUUAUGAUAAUUAAUUGUGACUAUAAAUAAAAUAUUGUCUCCAAUAAUAUUUACGCAGGAAAAAAAGUGAACGAAAAUCAUUUGUAUUUUUAGAUUUUUAUUGACAUGGUAGGAAAUUAUCUCAGCCUUAAAACAUUUAACUUUCACAAGCUUGUUUUCAUUUUAUUUUCAAAUGUCACUUUGUUAAUUUCAUAAAAAUUAAAUCUAACACAUAUUCCUAAUUAACUUUAGUUUAUGAAUUAUAAAAAAUUAUUUUAUUGUUAUUCUUUGAUAGUAAUUAUAAAAUUUUUAUGCUACGAAGAGUCAUUACUUUUAUUAUGAUAAUUAAUAGUGACAAUAAAUAAAAUAUUACAUCAAAUAAUAUUUAAUGGACAAAAUGAGGAAAAAAAAUCAUUGUAUAUUUUUAUAUUUCCAUUAUAAAGAUAUGGUUUGGGAUACUUUAACUUAAACUUUUGGCACACUAGUUGAGCAACUAAUAUCUCAUAAUCUAAUGGUUGAUAUUGAAAGUCAAAGCAACAUUUCAUAAUAUUAUAUCUUCCACCAUUGAAUUGCAUGAAAUAAAUAGUUUAAUUUUUUGAUAAAAAUUAAAAUCAAAAUAUUUCUCACUCUAUAGUUAUAUAGACAUAUAUAUUUUUCAAUAAUAAUUGGUGAAUAAAAUAUUUCUCAUUUGUUGUGACUCAUAUAGUAUUAUUAAUAAAACACAUAUAAAAUUGUUUAUUGCAAUGCUUUCUAUUAUCAUUAUUAUUUAGGUAUUAAUGGUUUGUAAUUAAAUUCAUACAAUACAAAUUAUUACAAGACUUUGUGUUAAAUAACCUACUUGAUAUUAUAUUUUAUACUUAAAGGUAACUGAUUUUGGAAGAUUUAUUUAAAAGAGAUUAUCAUAUUACAAAUUUAAAGGAGGGCUGAAAAGUAAUUUUAAAUAAAAUAUACUAUUUAAGUGAAAUUAUAUCAAACUCUAAGGGUAGUCACAAUUAUUUUACAAAAAUUAUCCACCUACUUGAACGGUUACCAUUAUUUUUUAGUACAAAUAUUAUAUACCAUUGAUUAGAUCUAAUGGUUCACAAUUAAUAAAUUAUUGAUGCUGUAAAAAAAUUUACAGCAUCAUAGAGGAACCCUGCUUUUCUAUAUUUUUUUCAAUGUCGAACCUGCCGAGCCCACCAACAUGUUCUCAUUUUUUUUUUUUUUUGGCAAACCCUUACAUACAUUUAAUGUAUCUUACACCAAACAAUGAAUGGACGCCACACCACUCACUGUGUGAGUGGUUAUAAUAUAUAUUAAGGCCAUGUUUGCUUGGGGGUUGAGAAGUGAGGAGAGGAAAAGAAUUUAAUUUUUUUUAUAUUUUCCAUUGUUUUGUUGGACUAAAUUUAAUGGAAUUGAAUUUUCAUUGAAAUUUAAUUUCCAUCAAUUUGAAGAAUUUGUAUUCCUUAUCAAUGACUAAGGAUAUCAAAUUUCUUAUCUAUUUAAACACAAAAAAUCUAAUAUUAUCCUCUAAACAAAAUCAAUUUUAAAUAAAUGAAAGUAUAAAUAAUUUAUAUUUAUUUUAUUAAAUUAAUAGGAUAAAUUUAUUUGAUAAAAGAAAAAACAGUAAAGUGACUCACCGGAAAGUCACCGAAGACACGCUGGAGUUUCGCCGAAGACGCGUUUUUCCAUCAAAACCGGUACCAAUAGAAUUCUCAUGAGCCGAUCUACAACUUUAUGGGGUUAGAAAUGCUAAUAUACAUUGUUAUUUACCUCAAGUCUUGUUUAAAUACUUGAGAAAAUUUUAACUCAACUAUAUAGUGUAUUUUCUUCAAAAUUAACAUUUCCAAUGAGUAAAUCGUCCAUUUUUUUUAUCAUUAUUAUGUAUUUAACACGAUGAAAAAUGGUAGUCAACUAUGGUCAACGGCGCCGGUCAAUGACGAUCAACAGAGGUCAAUGCGGCAGCUGUUCAUGCCCAAAUGCUGUAAUUUUUUAAAAUAAAUUUUUUUAUUUAAUUAAGUAAUUUUUAGAUUAAAUUAAUUCAUAGUUUAAUUAUGUUUUAAUUUAUUAACAAUAUUAACAUUAAAGAUAGUGGGUAUAUUUGUCCAAAUAAGAAAUAUGUAAUUUCUUUUUCUUUCAAAUUUUAUGUGAAACCAAAUAAUAACAAUUAAUUUUUGCACUCUUUUCCUCUUAUCUCAUCUCUAUUCCUCACAUUUUUUCUCCUUUCGUCUCCUCCCCUUUUUUAAAACAACACCACAUAAAUGUAUGUUAGAGGAAUCUUUUUUAUUUUAUUCAGCCUUUGAUUUCCUUUCAUCGGUGGGGUAGGUACUUUUAAAAAGAAAAUUAUACUUUAAAAAUAUUUUCAACAUUUAUUUUUAAUUAAAUAUUAUAUUAUCAAAUUACUCUUUAUGAAAUUUACCGUUAUAGACAAUCAAAAUUACUAGAUAAAAUUUUAUAAUUGUGUCAAAAAAAAUCGUUUUUUAAUUUUUUUUCAUUUUAAUUUUCUCCUCGACUUCACUGGUAAAUAUUUACUCUAAAAAAGGGUGGCUGUUAAAACAAAAAUAAAUAAAUAAUUGGGCAUUGGUUUGGAUAAGAUGGACAACAUUUAUUGGGACUCUAUAUCAUUGGGCGGUAGAACUUGGAGGUUGGACCGUUGCACUUUUAAUAAAUUAAUCUGUAAGCAGUUUUUUUUUUUUUAUUGGCUGAUAUAUAACAAUCAGAGCUCUACUAAUAUAAUCAGACGUCAAUCGGGUACUCUUCUCAAUAAUCAUAUUGUAGCACAGCUCGAAUAUCGACUCAUCGUUUAAAGCUGAAGGGAGAUCUACCAUCACUAUUAAUACCGGAGGGGAAUCAAUUCUACCCCAGUGUGGGGAGAAAAAAACAACGUCCAAGUUCUCAAUAAUUUUAGUGGGAACAAAAGUUCAGUUCAUGACCAUGAAAUUAAUCGGAGUUGUUCCGAUGGUUACCGCAAGAGUGUUGACGUUUGAAGAAAGAGAGCUUGGGCAAAAUAAAUUAAUUUUAGGGUAACUUUGGGAUUUUGAUGAGCGUGUAUAGUAAAAAAUUAUAUUUUAAAUUUGACAGUGUAUUGAGUAAAUGAGUGUCUAAAAUAAUAUUUAGAGUAUAAAUAAUCUCACCUAAAAAAAUUAUUUACUUUAAUAAAGACACAAUAAUUUACGUGAUUCGACUUAAAAUCUACAUUUACGAGCAAAAGCUAAAAAUAACUUCAUUAAUAAAUAAAAAUUUACCAAAUUAAGAAAAAAUACCCUCAAAACUCAAAAUCCCAAUAUACCCAAUUAAACCAUUAGUAGAACACUCAAAUAAAAACACUAUUCAAUUUCUCAAAUUACUUCCCUUAUAAUUACUUUCAACUUUCACACUUUAGGAUGAUCUUUAAAUGACAAACUGCCCCUCUGUCUAUGCCUCUAUGGGAGUGCGUGGCUCAACUAUCUCUCAAUUUUGGUAACUUGUCUAGUCCACCGAAUUCGGAACCCAAUCUUGUGCCGCCAUUUCUUAACAAGCUCUCCAAAUGCAUUAAAGUGUCAAGUAUUUCAAUAACCAACUCUCUACAUUUGUUGGCAAUUUUCAAUGUAUUUAAUUCACUUUUUUUGACUUUUCAACACACAGGAUGUGGAGAAAAAUAAUUAUGUUUUCGUUCUAUUUUUUUCAAUAGUUAGUAUGAUAAUCAGCCAAAUAUAUACAACAUACCAUUCUAUAACUCUGAUACUUUGUAAUAUAUACCAAUCAAGCCCCAAGUCUAAGACUGUCUCAUAAAACUAUUAAAAAAUUUGAACCUAAUACUUCAACGCAUCACUAAAAUGUUUUUUAAAUUAGAUUUUAUUACUUUUUAACGAGUCAUAUCAAUCAAUAAAUUUUAAAAGACUUUUUAAGUGAGUUUUUUUUUUUUUAUUGAAGAGAGAGAAAAGUGCUAUCUCAUUUGAAGGGUUUUUUAAAAUCUUAAAUUUAUUCUACUGUUUCUCAUAAUUUCAUGAAGAGAAAGAAGUAUCAUAUUUGCUAUUGUUUUUGUAGAGAAAUUUUUUGAUUAAAAUAAUAUAUUUAUACUUUUAUUUAAAGAAUCUUUUAAUUUUUUUCCACUCUUUCAUUUACAAUAUAUAGUAAAUAAAUAUUUAAAAAAAUUAAAUUUAGAAGAAUAUUUUAGUGAUCUUCUUAGAUCUACUUAGUGUCUGUUUGGUAUAAUUUAUGUAAUGCUCAUAAGUAUUUAUUUAGUCUCAUAAAUUCUUAUCAUAAUUUUUAUUACUAUUUAUUUUUUUUAGAGAUUUUAUAGUUUAAAUAAGUUAUUUUAUUUCUACUAGUAAAAUCUCAAAUUAGGAGUAGAGAUUGAAAUUUUUUUAAAUAUUAAAAUAUUCUCUACUAAUUUGACUUUUUUUCAUAACAUAACUUUAAAAACUUACCUAUUAAAAUAAUUUCAUAAAUUUUUAAUAAAAAUUCUUAUUAACAAUCAACAACAAAAAUUUUUUAAGUAAAAAUUUUGUUAUCAAAAACUUUAUUUAAAUAAAUUUUAUUUAAAAAAUUAUAUUAAACGGAGCCUUACCCUCGCGAAUCGCGAUACCAUAACUAUUUUGAAGAAAUCGAAGAAUGGAAAGAAUUAAAAAGGCAAAACCGCGUUGUAAAGGAGGACGUGGAUCAACGUACCGAGGCCACUAAUGACAAAUAGCUACACCUUUUGAAGUAGACUCCCAACGUCUACCUAACCUAAACGGGUACAGAGACCUUUUGUUUUUUUUUUACAAUAGGUACAGUUACGUAUGACUGAAGAAAUAAAAAUAAUAAUAAAAAGCAUAGGGUAGAAGAAAACAAAGCUACCCAUUGGCUUCGUGUUGCAACUCUGCAACAGAAUGUCAAAUCGACAAUGAAAUUUCUUUGUCCAUUUUUCACGUGCACAACCAUAAAAAAGAAAAAAAAAUAUCAAAAUUAUAUGCAUAUGCUGGUGGGUCCCUUUUCAAAUUUGACAAGAGGAUUUUAAUUUCUUGUGAAAUUUGUGUUACUUCAAAUCAUUUUAUAGAAAUUAGGGAUGGCAAUGGGGAGGGGAGGGGAGAGGACCAAUCUCCCCGUAUCCAUCUCUGAUAUUUUGCGUAUCUCUCCGUCUCCUCCCCAUCCCCAUCAUAAUUACUUGAGAGAAUCUCAUUCUCCUCCCCGAAUAAUAACAUGGGGAUUCCCGAGGGUCCCCGAUCUCCGAAUAACUAAUACAUAUUUUUUAUUUUUUAUUUUUAGUUAAUUCUAUUAAAAUAAAAAAUUCAAACAAAAGUAAAGUUCGAAAUAUAUUUUACAUUAACAUUGAUUCAUUAUAAAAGUCACAUGCAAAAUACAAAUUAUCAAAAUAAUUAUCUUUAUCAAUCUUCAUAAUCCUACAAUAAAAAGAAAAAGAAUUUACUUUUAUAUCAACAAUAAAAUAAAUGAAAUAAAUGUAGAUACUUAAUUAAUAUUUUUAAUAAAACAAAAUUAAAAUUAAAACAAAAUUUUUGGGCUAAUAGAAUCUAAAACUUUAAUUAGUUAAUUAGGCCUAAAAGUUGAAUAAUAUAAAUAUUUUAAUAUUUGUUACUUUUACCAAUAUUUAUAAUUUUAUAAUAUAAUUCAAAUUUUAUUAUUUAUUUACUAGUAAUUUUAAAAAAUAAAAUAAAAUUAAAAAUUAAAAGAGGGAAAUGGGGAGGGGAUGGGGAUUCCACUUCAUCCCCACCCGUUCCCCGAAUAAGAAACUUGGUAAAAAAAAUUCCCCAUCCCUUCCCCGUAUAAGAAAUUGGGUAUAGAAUUAUCCACGUACCCUCCCCAAAUGGAAAAAAUCCCCGAGAGUACCCGCCUCCGUGGGGAUUUUUACCAUCCCUAAAAUUCCAUUGGCUUCGUGUUGCAACUCUGCAAUAGAAUGUCAAAUCGAGAUUGAAAUUUCUUUGUCCAUUUUUCACAUGCACAACCAUAAAAAAGAAAAAAAAAAUAUCACAAUUGUAUGUAUAUGCAGGUGGGUCCCUUUUCAAAUUUGACAAGAGGAUUUUAAUUUCUUGUGGAAUGUGUUACUUCAAAUCAUUUUAUAGAAAUUAGGGAUGGCAAUGGGGAGGGGAGGGGAGGGGACCAAUCUCCCCGUACUCAUCCCCGAUAUUUUACGUAUGUCCCCGUCCCCUCCCCAUCCCCGUCAUAAUUACUUGAGAGAAUCUUCAUCCCCUCUCCAAAUAAUAACAGGGGAUCCCCGAGGGUCCCCGAUCUCCGAAUAAUUAAUAUAUAUAUAUAUAUUAUUUUUUAUUUUGAGUUAAUUAUAUUAAAAUAAAAAAUUCAAACAAAAGUAAAGUUCGAAAUAUAUUUUACAUUAACAUUGAUCCAUUAUAAAAGUCACAUGCAAAAUACAAAUUAUCAAAAUAAUUAUCUUUGUCAAUCAUCAUAAUCCUACAAUAAAAAGAAAAAGAAUUUACUUUUUUAUCGACAAUAAAAUAAAUGAAAUAAAUGUAGAUACUUAAUUAAUAUUUUUAAUAAAACAAAAUUAAAAUUAAAACAAAAUUUUUAGACUAAUAGAAUCUACCCGACCUUUUUAAUGUCCUAAAUAAAAAUUUAAGACUUUAAUUAGUUAAUUAGGCCUAGAAGUUUAAUAAUAUAAAUAUUUUAAUAUUUGUUACUUUACCAAUAUUUAUAAUUUUAUAAUAUAAUUCAAAUUUUAUUAUUUAUUUACUAGUAAUUUUAAAAAAAUAAAAAUUAAAUUAAAUUUUAAAAUAAAAAUUAAAAUGGGGAAAUGAGGAGGGGAUGGGGAUUCCACCUCAUCCCCGCCCCUUCCCCGAAUAAGAAAUUGGGUAUAGAAUUAUCCCCGUACCCACCCCGAAUGGGAAAAAUCCCCGAGAGUACCCAUCCCCUAAUGGGAAAUUGGGUAUAGAAUUUAUUCUACUUUUUCUCAUAAUUUCAUGAAGAGAAAGAAGUAUCAUAUUUGCUAUUGUUUUUGUAGAGAAAUUUUUUUGAUUAAAAUAAUAUAUUUAUACUUUUAUUUAAAGAAUCUUUUAAUUUUUUUUCCACUCUUUCAUUUACAAUAUAUAAAAGUAAAUAAAUAUUUAAAGAAUUAAAUUUAGAAGAAUAUUUUAGUGAUCCUCUUAGAUUUACUUAGUGUCUGUUUGGUAUAAUUUAUGUAAUGCUCAUAAGUAUUUAUUUAGUCUCAUAAAUUCUUAUCAUAAUUUUUGUUACUGUUUAUUUUUUUUAGAGAUUUUACAGUUUAAAUAAGUUAUUUUAUUUCUACUAGUAAAAUCUCAAAUUAGGCGUAGAGAUUGAAUUUUUUUUUUAAAUAUUAAAAUAUCUAAAAUAUUCUCUACUUAUUUGAUAUUCUUUUCAUAACAUAACUUUAAAAACUUACCUAUUAAAAUAAUUUCAUAAAUUUUUAAUAAAUUUUUUUAUUAACAAUCAACAACAAAAAUUUUUUUAAAUAAAAAUUUUAUUUAUAAAAAUUUUGUUAUCGAAAACUUUAUUUAAAUAAAUUUUAUUUAAAAAAUUAUAUUAAACGGAGCCUUACCUCGCGAAUCGCGAUACCACAAUUAUUUUGAAGAAAUCGAAGAAUGGAAAGAAUUGAAAAGGCAAAACCGUGUUGUAAAAGAGGACGUGGAUCAACGUACCGAGGCCACUAAUGACAAAUAGCUACACCUUUUGAAGUAGACUCCCAGCGUCUACCUAACCUAAACGGGUACAGAGACCUUUUGUUUUUUUUUUUUUACAAUAGGUACAGUUACGUAUGACUGAAGAAAUAAAAAAAAAAAAAAUGAAAAGCAUAGGGUAGAAGAAAACAAAGCUACCCAUUGGCUUCGUGUUGCAACUCUGCAACAGAAUGUCAAAUCGACAAUGAAAUUUCUUUGUCCAUUUUUCACAUGCACAGCCAUAAAAAAGAAAAAAAUAUAUCACAAUUGUAUGUAUAUGUUGGUGGGUCCCUUUUCAAUUUUGACAAGAGGAUUUUAAUUUUUUGUGAAAUUUGUAUUACUUCAAAUCAUUUUAUAGAAAUUAGGGAUGGCAAUGGGGAGGGGAGGGGAGGGGAGGGGACCAAUCUCUCCGUAUCUAUCCCUGAUUUUUUUCGUAUGUCACCGUCCCCUCCCCAUCCUCAUCAUAAUUACUUGAGAGAAUCUCCUUUCUCUUCCCGAAUAAUAACAUAGGGAUUCCCGAGGGUCCCCGAUCCCCGAUCCCCGAAUAACUAAUACAUAUUUUUUAUUUUUUAUUUUUAGUUAAUUCUAUUAAAAUAAAAAAUUCAAACAAAAGUAAAGUUCGAAAUAUAUUUUACAUUAACAUUGAUCCAUUAUAAAAGUCACAUGCAAAAUACAAAUUAUCAAAAUAAUUAUUUUUGUCAAUCUUCAUAAUCCUACAAUAAAAAGAAAAAGAAUUUACUUUUAUAUCGACAAUAAAAUAAAUGAAAUAAAUGUAGAUACUUAAUUAAUAUUUUUAAUAAAAUAAAAUUAAUAUUAAAACAAAAUUUUUGGGCUAAUAGAAUCUAUCCGACCUUUUUAAUGUCUUAAAUAAAACUUUAGGACUUUAAUUAGUUAAUUAGGCCUAGAAGUUUAAUAAUAUAAAUAUUUUAAUAUUUGUUACUUUUACCAAUAGUUAUAAUUUUAUAAUAUAAUUCAAAUUUUAUUAUUUAUUUACUAGUAAUUUUAAAAAAUAAAAAUAAAAUUAAAAAUUAAAAUGGGGAAAUGAGGAGGGGAUGGGGAUUCCACCUCAUCCCCGCUCCUUCCCCGAAUAAGAAAUUGGGUAAAAAAAUUUUCACAUCCCUUCCCCGAAUAAGAAAUUGGGUAUAGAAUUAUCCUCGUACUCUCCCCGAAUGGAAAAAAUUCCCGAGAGUACCCGUCACCGAAUAAGAAAUUGAGUAUAGAAUUUAUUCUACUUUUUCUCAUAAUUUCAUGAAGAGAAAGAAGUAUCAUAUUUGCUAUUAUUUUUGUCGAGAAAUUUUUUUUGAUUAAAAUAAUAUAUUUAUACUUUUAUUUAAAGAAUCUUUUAAUUUUUUUCCACUCUUUCAUUUACAAUAUAUAAAAGUAAAUAAAUAUUUAAAGAAUUAAAUUUAGAAGAAUAUUUUAGUGAUCCUCUUAGAUUUACUUAGUGUCUGUUUGGUAUAAUUUAUGUAAUUUUCAUAAGUAUUUAUUUAAUUUCAUAAAUUCUUAUCAUAAUUUUUGUUACUGUUUAUUUUUUUUAGAGAUUUUACAGUUUAAAUAAGUUAUUUUAUUUCUACUAGUAAAAUCUCAAAUUAGGAGUAGAGAUUGAAUUUUUUUUAAAUAUUAAAAUAUCUAAAAUAUUCCGUACUUAUUUGACAUUCUUUUCAUAACAUAACUUUAAAAAUUUACCGAUUAAAAUAAUUUUAUAAAUUUUUAAUAAAUUUUUUUAUUAACAAUCAACAACUAAAAUUUUUUAAGUAAAAAUUUUAUUUAUAAAAAUUUUGUUAUCGAAAACUUUAUUUAAAUAAAUUUUAUUUAAAAAAUUAUAUUAAACGGAGUCUUACCUCGCGAAUCGUGAUACCACAACUAUUUUGAAGAAAUCGAAGAAUGGAAAGAAUUGAAAAGGCAAAACCGCAUUGUAAAAGAGGACGUGGAUCAACGUACCGAGGCCACUAAUGACAAAUAACUACACAUUUUGAAGUAGACUCUCAGUAUCUACCUAACCUAAACAGGUACAAAAAUCUUUUAUUUUUUUGAUCUCACUACGUUACGUUUAACAUAACAUACAUUCACACACAACAACAAUUUUCAUAAUAAGAUCCAUAACUAUUACUAUAUGUGACAAUUAUUACUAUGUGUGACGUAGCCUUAUUUUUUUUAACAAUAGGUGCAGAUACGUACGAAUGCAUUAAUUAAUGAAAAGCAGAGGGUAGAAGAAAACAAAGCUACGUCGGCAGACACGUUGCAGUAGGGAUUCUGGAAUGCAUUAAUUAAGGGGCCUUAAGUAUUCAAUAGUCAAAGAAAUGAGAAGGCAGAGCGUAGAAGAAAACAAAGCCACGUCGCCAGACACGUUGCUGAAGGGAUUAUGGAAUGCAUUAAUUAAGGGGUCUUAAAUAUUAAGUAGUGACAUCCUUUUUGUGUUUUUCCAUAAGAAGAUGCUGGAAUGCAUUAAUUAAGAGGCCCACUGUGAUUAAUUCAUAACUACUAGUAAUUUGUUUGUAUUCGAGUUGCUCCUUUGUAUAACUAGACGUGAAAAUGAGUGAUUGGUGGGGCGGUGGAGUCGAGGGUGCUAAGAGCAACAAAAACAAAUUCUGAAGCAAUUGUUCUGACUCUUGAGUGCUUAUAUUUAUUUCAUUAAUCUCGGAAGAUAUGGCGUCUCAUAAGGUGCCUGGUAAUCGCAAAUUGAUAGGUUCUAAAUCAGAAUACUAUUUUAUGCUUUAUGCAGGUACUGAAGAAGUGAAGAGCUACGACCGGAUUGAUUUUGGUAUGUUUGGUCGGAGUUGGGCUCCCAUUGUUUCUUGGGCCGUGAUAGUUGUUCCCCACGAGCCGGAGAGUAAUUGGAGAAAAAAUUUACCUCCUCCAAGUGUCAAUAAUAUGGACCCCGCUAGCUCGCUUUGUGUUAUUACAUCUGGUUCUUCUAAUGGUUAUAAGCCUAUAGGUGAUGAUAAAAAGGAUCGUCCUUUUCAUGGCGUUAGAACUACAGUUCCAUUGAACAAAUUGAAAUAUGAUCGUGAAGUGUUGCGCGGAGGUUCUCUUGUUUUGGAGAUUAAUCUUUUAGAGGUUUUUCACGGAGGAGAUGUUGUGGAUUCUGAUCAUACUUUUGAUGGUCAAGUGUUUUGGAACUUGUACUCGAAUUGAAUAUUGUACGGUGAGAUAAGUUGAUGUGUGUAUUAAUGGUAUUAUCUAAUAUAAACAUAGGAUUGGACAUAUAGUUGUGUCAAUGUAUUGUGUAAUUUAACUACCUCUAGAUAAUAUUAUCGUUUGUGUAAUGAUUGUAAUUGAUGUUUUGUUGGAGGAUCCUUUAGUAUGCUUAUAAAAAGGAUUCAAGUGUGUUGUAACGAGCAGAGCUCUUCUAAGUCUAGUCCAUAAAUAAAUAAAAGAGUUGACUAUAAUGUAAUAUUGUGGGGUCUUCUACUGUGUCUAUAAAAGGAUCCAAGUGUGUUGUAAUAUGAGUAGAGAUUCAUGAAUUUAGUCUAUAAAUAAAUUAAACAAGUGUUUUAUAUAGUCCUUUUAUGAACAUGUAUGGUCUCAUUUCCUUCAUAAAGCAAUGUAUAGCCGUUGUGACAAAAUCUUAUUACUCAAGUUUACUCAUGAAUCCUUUACACAAAUGUUACAAAUGUAUAAUAACAAAAUUGAAAAGUCAUUUUCACACGUUACAAAUAUAUACUAACAAAAUUGAAAUAACAUUAUUACAAAUUAGAACAAUAUGUAAUAACAAAAAAUAAAUAAAUAAACUCGAGGCUUGUAAAGUUAAUAGUUUAUUUAAAAAAAAUUAGAACAAUAUGUUUUAUAUAUUACUGGUGAAGAUGAAGAAGAGAUUCGAAUAACAAGAAAUAACUUAUUAGUUCGCUUCUAGAUGAAAAAGCUUGGUUAGCUUAAGCACUUCCUUGGUCUAGAAGUUAUCGAAUAGAAGAAGGGAUAUUUCUUUACCAACAAAAUUAUGCCAAAGACUUGCUGAAGAAGUUUGAAAUGAUGGAAUGAAAACUAAUCUCAACUCCAUUGGAAGUAAAUGCAAAAUUGUGCACACACGAAGGCAGAGAUUUACAAUAUAGAACAAUGUAUCAACAAUUGGUAGGUAGUUUAAUCUACCUUAUGCUGAAUCAACCGAAUAUUUCAUAUGUCGUAGGUGUCAUGAGUUGGUAAAUGCAAAAUCCAAAGAAGCUUCACUUGGAAGUAGUUCUGUGAAUACUAAGAUAUGUGAAGAGUACAAACAAUUAUGGUUCAUUGUGCAAGAAAGAUGAAAUUACAAGCUGACUAGCUAUUGUGACGCUGACUACGCCGGAGAUCAUGAUACAAAAAGAUUAACUACUAGGUAUGUUUUCAGAAUUAGGUCUAGAGUAGUUUUUUAGUGUAGUAAGAGACAACCAACUGUAUCACUAUCAACCACAGAGGCAGAGUAUAAAACAACAGUGAUGACAUCUCAAAAAAGCACUUGGUUGAUGUAGUUGAUCAAGGAUCUACACCAACUAGUAGAUUAUGUAUGCAAUACCACUGUAUUGCGAUAAUCAAUCGAUAAUCAACUUGGUAGAAAAUCUAGUUUUCCAUGCAAGAACUAAGCAUGUAGAGGUCCAUUAUCACUUCAUCAGGGAAAAUGUCUUACAAGAUAAAGUUGAGAUGCGGUACGUCAAGACAAACAAUUAAGUUACGGAUUUUUUUUUUUAUAAAAAGUCUUUGUACCAUGAAGUUUAAAAAGUUUCGUCAGCAGCUCAAUAUGGAUCGAAUGAUGAAACUUGGUUUUGAGGGGGAGUGUUAAAAGUGCAACACCAAUUUUAUGAUCCAAUUAAAUAACAUUUGUCCAAAUCCAAGUUCAUAACUCAAUCCAUAGAAGACUUAAGAAUUGUGUAGAGAACAUGGGACAUUUCUAAUCUAAAAAUAUUUAAUGAUGAUGAAAAUAUCUUAUUUUAGAAAUCUCUUGAACGGUGAUAUUUAUAAAAUGUGAUUGUUAAAUUUUUAUAAUUUAAUGUUUUGUGUGGUUUGUAUUAGUUUUAGGAUACUAUAAAUACCGCUAAACUCUUUGUUGUAGGCAUCAAGAGAGGAGUGAAGAAUUAGUAGGAAGAAAGAAGAGUGAGCCGUGAGUAUCGUAGUGUUUUUCUUAUAAAAUAUCAAUAAAAUCCUUUAAUUUAGUAAAAUACUUCUAUUUCUUAAAUAUUUUCAGUCUUAAGCAGCUUCGUCCUUCUUUCUCAACAAAAGCAUUCCAUUUAGUAUAUGAAAAGAAAGUUGUGAGUUUGUGAAGAGAGAAUAAUUAGAAUAUCUUUUGCAAUUGUUAUUUUCCCAAUUUUAAGUAACAGAGUUGCUUUCUCCUAGUAUAAGAGAGAUUGUAAUUGUUCUAUCCUUGUAUUCAAAGAAAAUUGUUAUAAUCCUCAUUUGAAUAGUGAAUUCUUUCUACUUUUGUUGUGGAUUUUUAACCCGGUUUAUUUGGAAUUUUUUCCACUUAAAAUUUGUGUGUCCCAUAUAUCUUCAUUUGUUCUUAAUAUCACUUUGGUUUCGGUCUGAUACGGUCCUUAAUUUCCUAAUAGAAAACAACCGAAACCAUCCAAUAACGAGAGUGAUCUCUGAAAGCUCCAUUGCAGAACAUGGAUAACCGCUGCUUCGGCCAUCUGUAUUAACUUUUACCCAGCCAUGCACUAUCGGGCAAAUUUUAGCAAAAUAUUGAAAAUGAGAGGUAUAACCAACUUGUAUUAGAUGAAAGGAGGAUGGGGUGUUUUCAUAUCGUAGCUCUGUCACGGCAUCGAUGUGAAGAAGAUGAGUUGGUCAUGUCUAAUUAACAAAAAAAAAAAAAAUCCUUUCUGCUAAUCCCAAUUUCAAAGCUUUCUUGUGUCGGACUUUAAUUCUAACUUUGUAAUAUCACACUUUCAAUGGUUAUUUUACCUUUAUAUUCACUAUUGACUUAUAGGGGUGAAAUGAAUAAUUAAAACUCUAUUAUGGAUAUAAAUAACAAAAAAGAAAUUUAUGUGUCGCGGAACUGGUACUCAUAUGAAAAUAACAUUUGACAAUAUCGAACCAUUGGAGCACUAAAUAAAUUAUAGCAUUAUAUAAAAGGGGAUUUGAAUACAUGCUCAUGUUAUGCCCUACGGACUUUCUUUUGUAUUUGUUGGCAAAAAUUUGCAGAUCGUAGAUAUUUGCCCCUAAGGUAACAAAACUGCAAAAGCAUUUCGUGGGUAACAAGUACUCGGGCUUUUAUCUAGAAUAUCUUUAUUCUUCCAUACCAAUAAAUCACUUAGAUUUUAUGGGCUACGGAUGGAAAUUGUUAAAUUCAUUAUUUAUAGAGUUUGUAUUUUAUAGCAAGUCUAGUUAAAUUGGAAUUUUAUUUAUUGUAUAUUUUGUAAUAGUGAUUAAUUUAUUAAUUCCCUAAUUUAGUGAGAUUUCAAUUUAUUAAGAAUAUUUAUUUCCUAAUUUAAUUAGAUGGCUAACUUAAAAAGUCAAUUAAUGAUGUGAUUCUAUAAUUGGCGCAUGAGCUCUAUUUUGAGUAUGAAGUCAGUUCAAACAUGAAGUUUAUUAAAUGAUUUAGAUAUUUCUUGGGAGACAAGCAAUGUAAGAAAAUUAGAUUUAUUCCUAUUCAGAUUCAUAGGAAUUAUAAAAGAAAAUAAACUCUUAUUUGGAAAGAAUCAAAAUCUUUUAAGAGUUAUUAUUUUUGUGAAAUCCUAGUGCCUAUAUAAAGAGAGGUAUUUCACAAUUGAAGGUGUGCAACACGGAGCACAAAGCAGGGAAGCAAAAUUCGGCAUUCUCCCUAAAGAAUCCUAAUUUGGCACAUAAUAUUGUGUUGAUUUAUUUACUUAUCUUCUUUUCAUAUUUGUGUAGAGUCUAUGUGAAUUUUGGAUCACUAGACAUUAAAAAAUUAAAUAAUUGUUAUUGAUCACUUUGCGAAGUGCGUUAAGUAUCGUGGAUCAAGAGGGGUAGUAAUUAUUUAAGAGAAGCAAAUUCAGUCUGUACAAUGAUAAAAUGUAAAUGAGAGUUUUAAGUUUGAUAAAUCUAUGGUUGUAACAUCUCAACUUAGUGAAUUACUUUUCAUCUGAGCUUGACCUCGUGGAUGUAGAAUUAAUUAAUCUGAAUCACGUAAAAAUCUCCGUACCAUUUAAUUUCUGUAAUUUAUUGUAUUUUUGAAAAAUUAAUAUUUUGAUGCGGAUAAACAAUAACCGUAAACAUUAACUAUAAACAAUAAGCGUAAACAAUAAUGAUGAAUAGUAAUGGUAAACAAUAUUUCCGAAAGUUAAUUAAGUUGUUAAUUUUAAAUUUUUAAUUACCUACAUCUAAAUUGCCUACAUUUAGUGCAAUUUUGAAAGGUAUUAAAUUGGCAGCGGACUUGGGGUUUCUUCCGCUACUGAUAGAGUCCGAUUCAGUUAAUGUCAUUAGUCUCAUCUCAGGAAAAAUUAACAGCCAAUUAGAGAUUGAUUGGCUAAUAUCUGAUAUUAAAAGUUUUAUUUGUAAGAAAAGUGUUUGCUAUAAGACACAUUCCCAGAUCCGGUAAUUCAGCAGCUCACAAAGCUGCAAAAAUGGCUCUUGAUCAUGCUGAGUCGCGCACAUGGUUACAGGAUGCGCCUCCUGACAUUGUACCUCUCUUGUAAUGUUAUGGUGUAAUCAAUGAAAAUUUUAUUGUAAAAAAAAAAAUCCUUUCAGAAAUUAAUAUAUACUAUUUUAAUGUGGAAAAUCCCUUCAGAAUUAGUUCGAUAAAUACAAUAUUCAUCCAGUUACCGCAGGCUAAUAAUGCUCAUCCUGGAUAACUCAUGUCGCUUUUUACAUAUGCUGUAAUCUAAUUGGUGUGAUUAUCUUUGUAGGCCUACCUUCUCACUUGGCCAGAAUCGAGGUUAUAUAUGGUCAUGCAAUUAUACAUGAAAAAAGAAUAUCUUUCCAGUAGUUCAUUUUCCCUUUCACAUAGAGCGUACUAAGGAUAUAUAUAUCGGAAACCUGAGAAAACUAAUGAGAUAUUUGAAGGUUAAAGGGGAAGCCGGCUCCGUUAUUAAAAGCAAACUUCUUUAUUUAUUUAUAGACUAGAGUCAAGGAGCUUCACCCGUUACACACUUGAAUCCUUUUUCUAGGCACCAUAAAGGAUCCCAACAAUUAUACAUUACAAGUCAUUACCUUUAUUUAUAGACCAGACACAAGGCGCUCUGCCCAUACAACAUACUUGGAACAUUUUUAAAGGCACACUAAAAGACCAUCCACAACAAAACAUUGAUUCGAUCAUUACACUGGAGGUCGCCUUUUCAUCGGAAAUUGAGAUUUACCUUACCAAGAGGUAAUAUCAACGUUACACAAAACAUGACAUAUAACCAUGUCUAACCUUAUAUCUAGAUUAGAUUACACAGUACACACCAGCUUAAUUAUCUUACAGUAGUAUUCAAUUGGAAUACAAAUGCCAAUACAUUUUACCAUCGAAAGUAUGAUCAGAAUCCAGAACAUUUCCAUGAGGUACCUCUAUAAGAUUAAUCUGCAAAACAAGAGAACCUCCUUCCUGCACAUGACGAUCUUUAUACAGUUCAUCUAAUUGAACCAUAGUUCUAAGGCCAUGAAUAGGACGAUUUUUAUCAAUAGGCCUAUAACCAUUAGUAUAACCAGAUGCAACAACAUCAAAAGAUACUUCAGCAUCCAUAUUAUUGGCGGCUGCAGGAGGCAGAUCUCCUCUCCAAGCAUCCUCGUUAGCUCUGGGAACAAAUAGGACGGCCCAGGAAACAAUAGGAGCCCAACUUCGACCAAACAAACCAAAAUCCAUCCUAUUCAAGUCCUUCAAAACACCAGGAUCUGCAUAACGCAGAAAAAAGUAGUCUGAUUUAAAACCUAUCAAUUUUCGCUGAUCACACGCCAUAUCUUCCGUGAUUAAUGAAAAAUAAGCGCUCAGAAUCAGAUCACUUGCCUCAGAAAUUAUUUUCGUUGCUCUGUCACUCUUUUUUCUGCUGCCGUCCAAAGACAUUUUCACGUCUAUUUAUGCAAGGGAGGAAUUCGAACACAAACAAAUCACAAAUAAUUAUUAAUUAAUUAUAAUAGGACUCUUAAUUAAUGCAUUCCAGCAUCUCCUUCUGCAACGUGUCUGGCGACGUGGUUUUGUCUUCGUCUGUGCUCCGCCUUUCAUUUCUUGGAUAUCUUCAUCAUAGGUAUUAGAGCCAAGUUAAGGUUAGGUAGAUGAUACAAGUCCUCUUCAAAAGGAUUUUGCUAGUAUUAGAGCCUAGUAAUGUAAGAUAUAAUCUCUCGUAAAAUUGUGGGCCUAAGUGGAACCUACAACUAAAUUUGUAUGAGACUGUACCUUACAUUACACGCUUCCUUUAACAAUUGACACAUGUUAAUUAAUGCAUUCCAGCAUCUCCUUCUGCAACGUGUCUGGCGACGUGGUUUUGUCUUCGUCUGUGCUCCGCCUUUCAUUUCUUGGAUAUCUUCAUCAUAGGUGUUAGAGCCAAGUUAAGGUUAGGUAGAUGAUACAAGUCCUCUUCAAAAUAGCUCUCUGUCACAAGUGGUUCCGGUACGUAGAUCCACGUCUUCUUUUGCAGCGUGGUUUGGCCUUUUCAGUUCUUCUCAUUCUUUGAUUUCUUCGAAUAGUUAUCUGCAUCGUGUUUACAGGUUAGGUAAGACUAAGGAUUGGGUUCUCACAGUUCUAAUAUUUUGAUUGGACCAUCCUGCAUCUAUCUCUUAUUUAGUUUAGCAUGACUUAUUUAACAUCAUAAAUAUUUCUUUAAUUUUAUAAUUUUUUAAAUAUUAAAUAAAUUAUUUUUUUAUUAGUAAAAUUUUAAAUUUUGAGUUUUUGAAAAUAGAUUGAAAAAUAUUUUUAAAAUAUUAAAAUAUUAAAAAUAUUAUUUAUUUAUUUAAUAAUUUUAUUUCAUUCAUUUUAUAACAUAAAUUUAAAAAAUUACCUAUUAAAAAAAAUUAUAAUUUCUUAAUAAAAACUCUUAUUGAUAGUCAAAUACCUUAAAGUUUUAGUAACAGUUUGCUUGUAAAAGAUUUAUUAACAAAAGUUAUGCCGAAAUAAAUUUUAUUUGAAAAAUUAUAUCAAGGCUUGAUUUGGUAUCAAAAGAAAAUUAUCAUACACUUAUAUUUUUAUAUUAUCAUUUAAAACUGAAGAGAAGAGUAAAGAAAGAUCAAACCAGAGUGAAGAAAGGUUAACAUAAAAUGAAAGAAAAGCCUCGGGCAUUAUACUAUGAUUUGGGAGAAUGAUGCGUUAUUUAGUUUUGGUGGGUGUAAAAGGAAAACGAAGCUUAAUAAUAUGAGCUUAAAACUCAAUUAAAAUGAGUUUAAUGAAGGGUAGUUUUAGCAUUUUAAAGUGCGAUCAUAGUUAAUUUUAAUUUUUGUAACUUAUUGAAUAAACUAUUUGCAAUGAAUUAAGAAAAGUAAUCAAUAACUAUAACAAUAAAAGUAAUGAUUACUGAAACGACCCAUCUCGAACUUCAAGAGCAAAUCUAUCUAAUUUCUUUUAACGUGAUUAGUAAAACUUAUUAAUAAGGAUUUUGCUAAAAUUUUCCAACAUGCAAAUCUUCAAAACAAACACUUUCAAAAUAAUUCAAUACACAACAAACUUCAUUGUUCAACCUUCUCAACCAUGAUAUUGAAUAUCACCUAAACACUUAUAAAGUAUCAAAAGAUUAUGUUAUAGCUAAUGUCAACAUAUAUUAAACAUUCAUAAUCAUCAAAUCAUAAUACAAUUAUACAAUCCAAAAUGAGAUGAUCUAAUUCCCUAAUAAUAUCAUUUAUAUCUUUUAGCACCAUCACGUGGCCAAAAUUCAAAAACACUACAGUCGUUGGGUCGAUUAAUGUAUCCACAACCUUCUGUGGGGGAAAAGUAUAGUAAAAUGGAAUGAAUAUAAAACUCAACGAGUGAAUAAUAACUUUUGAAAAUAAUAUAUUUUAAAAUAAUUAUAUCUUUUCAAUAUACUAUUUUCAUCAAACUAUAAGUAAGAACAUAGAUGAAUUAUUCGAACUUUAAAUCAAACAACUAUCGUUUUAAUUUUAAAGUGCGAUCGUAGUAAAUUUUUAUUUUUUUAAUUUAUUGAAUAAACUAUGUACAAUCAAUUAAGAAAAAUAAUCAAUAACUAUAACAAUGAAAGUAUUGAUUACUGCAACGACCCACCUCAAACUUCGAGGGCAAGUCUAUCUAAUUUCUUCUAACGUAAUUAGUAAAACUUAUUAAUGAGGAUUUUGCUAAAAGUUCGUCGACAGAGUGCCCCCCUAUAUUUAUAAAAUUUCUAACAUGCAAAUCUAAACGCUCCCAAAAUAAUUCAAUACACAACUAACUUCAUUGAUCAACCUCCUCAACCAUAAUACUGAAUAUCACCUAAACACUUCUAAAUUAUCAAAAGAUUAUAUUAGAGCUAAUGUCAACAUACAUUAAACAUUCAUAAUCAUCAAAUCAUAAUACAAUUAUACAAUCCAAAAUGAGAUGAUCUAAAUGCACUAAUAAUAUCAUCUAUAUCUCCUAGCACCAUCAUGUGGCCAAAAUUAAAAAAAAAAACAAAUACUACAAUCACUGGGUCGAUUGGUGUACCGUAACCUUCUUUAGGGGGAAAGUAUAAAAAAAUGAAAUGAGUAUAAAACUCAAUGAGUGGAUAAUAGUUUUUGAAAAUAACAUAUUUUAAAAUAAUUAUUUCUUUUCAAUACACCAUUUUCAUCAAACUAUAAGUAAGAACAUAGAUGAAUUAUUCGGACUUUAAAUCAAACAACUGUCGUUAAAAGAAUACAUGAUAUUAUACAUAAUAUACAAGGAAAUCAUAUCAAAAUAUAAUAUAAAAUACUUGAUUAUGAAAUUGUCACUAAAUAGUACCUAAGUAAAUAAUCUUGUCAUUCUCGCACCUCUUAUCGAUGGUGAAAUGACGUACUAUCUGAGUACUAUCAUGUCCGGAGCUAGAACGAGUAGACCAAUGGCAUGCUAUCUCAUAUAUCUCAUCAUAUCUCCUUAUAUUUCAUGUAAAAAACAAUCCCUACAGGACAAAAACACCCAAGCACACAACCCAAAAUCUUUGUGUAUAUUCAGACGGGACCCAAAGAUCUCUAGCUCAACUAUAAUCUCUACAACUGAAUCUAUAUCUCUGUAUCUCAAACUGUAUCUGGAGGGGAGGAGUAUUGUCAAAUGAUUUUAAAAACAAACUCUUAUACACUUGUAGAUAAACAUAUAAUCAUACUUUAAACUUCAUUUCCUUUUUCAUUAACAUACUGUAAAUCUAUUUUUCUUUUCUUUAAAAUACUCUUAUGCGUUUACUCAACAUAGAGAAGCAAAAGUAAUCAUCAAACACGUUUUAACAAUAUAUUAAUACAUAAAUAAAAAUCAUUUAUAAAACCAUUAAAUCAAAACAUUAAACUCUUGUUUCGUAUGCAUGCGUUACUUUACUUAAUUUAAAAAUCAUAAUAAAUUAUAAAAAUGGGUUUAGUAUAUUCCAUUUGCAAUGAUGAUGCUCAAGCUCAACUAUUAUCGACAUCCGCAGAUUGACUCACGUUUAUGGCUCCUCUAAAUUGUGGAACGACAUAAUUACUUUUUGAAUAUAUGAAAUACAACUAGCUUUAAGCAAGAUAGCUCUCAAUGAAUAUUUAUCCCACAAUGUACAACUCCCGAAACCAUACUUGUAAGAUAAAAAUGACCAUAAUAUACUCAAAGCCAUAAUUUACACCUUAUACAUAAAAUUCCAUACUCCUUAAAUUUUUCAUAUGUUAUAAUACUAAUAAAUCUUCCACAUUAUCAAAAAUCUCAUAAUUAACCAUAACCUACCUAAACAUGAUGCAUAACUAUAAGCUAUUUACAUACCGAAAUGAGGGAACGAUGAGGGCUACGCGUUUCUAGGUGUACAAUGCCUCAUUGGUGCCCUUGUGCAUCUAUAAUAAUCCACUAGUUACAAAAAUUAGCUUGGGACAAUUUUUACCCGUUUGUUAGAAACCUUAACUAUAAAUAAAGUAUACAAAUUUUUAAAUUAACUUCAUUCCCAUGAGAUCCAACUUCGAAUAAAGAUAACAUGAUAGAAAUAUUACUUCCUUUGGUGAGAAAAACCAACUUGGAAGCUUGAUUACUUCCUUCUCACUUAAAUCCCCUCUCUACACUUACAUUUAAAUUCCUCUUUAAUGGAUGUUUUCAAAAGAAUUUAGGGACGGAAACACUCUAGAAUAACUCUCCAUUCCAAGCUUUCCAAGAUCCAAACUCAAACUUUGAAAAAUUUCCCCAUUUUUCUCCUCUUUCCCAUUGCUCCUCUUCUCCUUUUCUUUUUUGCCUUUUUUUUUUUCAAAUCAAUACAUAUAAAAGCCAAUGGAGACUAACAGGCUUUCAAGUAAGGGUGGAUGUUCAGAUUGGUAUUUGUUUUAUUCUUUAUUAAUCUGGCCUGGAUUUGAGAUUCUGGAACUAUAAGUGGCUGGUUACUGGGAAAUUUUUCGAAAAUGAAAUUUUUGUAACCUAAAUUGGACCCAAACUGAAAUUGAGACCUAAAUUUUCAAACCGAACCAAUCCAAAGUGUGAUCCCAAAUAGAACCGAGUCGAACUAAAUUCGGUUCGGUUCUGUUUGGGUUCAUGUUUUGAACCUAAUUGGGUUGAAUACUCUAACCCGAUCAGGUUGUAACCUAACUGGAACUCAAACAACCCGAAUCGAAACCCGAUAUGCCCACCCCUAUUUUAAAGCCUACAGACCAAUGGAAGAAAUGGAAAGAAAAAAUAUGUUAUAGUUAUUAACUUGAUUCUUGGGUAUUAUAAUCUCAAUAUUUAACAUGAUGUUGUUUCUCAUAUUAGUUUCUAUCUUCUGUGUUGAGACCUAGAGUCUUAUUCAAGUUGGCAUCUUGUAAGGAUUGGCAUUCUUAUUGAAUUGUAAUUCAUAAAUUGAAGGCUAUGUUAAUUGGGAGAUUUCUUAAUUUAGUUAUUUUCUUAAAAUUAGGAUUUAAGUCUUUUCAUUUUAAGGAUUUACUUAGAACACAAAGAGUCUAAUUUUGGAAGCAAAUCAAAAUUUAAAAAAAAAAAAAAAGGCUCUCUAUAACUUGUUAUAGAAGUUAUUCAUUGAAGAUAGUUCAUCACAAGCAGAAAAAUAGAAUUUUAAGGUGGAUGAACAAUGCUAUAAAUAGUAUUAGAUGAACAAUAUUAGUUAAUAGUGUCUAUUGAAACUAUUCAUUGAACUUUAAUCUUUAUAGGGUACACGCUUAUUUAGUCUCUAUAUUUUCACUCAAAUAUAUGUUUAGUCUCACAUUAUAAAAUAUAUCUCAAAACACUCAUAUAGUUAAAUAUGUUACAUUCUUAACCUUUUUUGGUUUUAUGAUAACACCCUUCAAACAAUAUUCUUGACAUGAAUUAAGGUAUCUAUAAAAAAAAGUUAAUUAGCAUCUUAACCAAUAAUUAAUUAUUAGCAAAUUAAUUAACAAAUACCACUGUGAAAGAACUAAUAUUUUUAUACUCUUGCAACAAUCUUACUAAUAAUUAUUUAUAAAUAAAUUAAUAUUAGCCAACUUAAAACAAUGUUUAUUAAUAUCUUUACAACAAUUUUAAUAAUAUUUUUUUUAUAAAAAUUAAUUUACUAAAUUAAUUUUAAAAGAAAAAUAAUAAUAUAAAAGUUUGGGUAAAUUUUUAUGUUACUUUUAAGAUAAAUUUUGGUAAAUUAACAAUUUUUAUUGAUAUCCCAAGAAUAUUGUUGCAAGAGUGUUAUCAUAAAAAGAAAAAUAUUAAGGGUAGGAAUGAAACAUAUUUGACCUCAUGGGUGUCUUGAGAUGUGUCUCUCUGUGUGUAACACUUAAAUCAAAAUAUAGGGAUUAAAUAAGUAUUAACCUAUUUUAUAUUCAUCCCACUCUUAGACAUACUUUUGGUGCGUUUGUGAUUAAGGUUGAGCAGCUGUAGCUUUUAAGCUACAAUAGUAAAGUGUUUGGUAAACACUAGCUGUUGUACCUUGAAAGUUAUGUUAAUAUGAUUUUUCACUUGUAUAAUAAAAAAUCUAUUAUAUCUUUAAUGAUUUUGUCAAAAUUAUUAUUUAAAAUUUAUAUUUACUAUAUAUUAUUGAUUUUUGUUUUAUAGUUACAGUUUUUUUUCCACAGCAGUUGUAGCUUAAAAGUUAUAGUACCUCAAUCCCAAACAGGACCUUUGUUAAUUGGUCUCUCUUCGUUAAUUGGUCUCUUCCAAAAAAGAUGUUGUUUGGAGCAGUUAAGGAAUUUCAUAUCAAGGUUAUGAACAAGAAGACGAAUGGUUCUCGCAAAUUACAUAUGCCUUAGUUGACUGAGAUGGUGGCAAAAGUAAAUUUUCCUACAUAUUAAAAUACUAAAUGUGAUAUAAGAACCAACUAUAAGUAAGUUAAAUUGAUGAUUUGGUAUAAUUACAAUAAUUAUUAUUUUUAAUUGAUAUGUGGGUUGAAAUGGCUAUAUAAUCAUUCUUAAGUGCGAGCAUCCAUAUUUUUUUGGGAAAAGGACAAACACACCCCCAACGUUUAGGCAAAGGGAUAAAAAACCUCCUAACGUUUUAAAAAAGACAUUUACACCCCAACUUAUUAUAAUUUUACCAUUAUACCCUUCUAGCAUAUAAAAAAAUUAUUAGAUUAUCUAAUUUGUCUAUAUAUUGUUAAUAAAAUUAUAAAUAGAAAAAUUGGAUAUUAUAAAAAAAAUUAUAAAUAUACCCUCAUUGCCCAAUUCUUCUAUUUAAAUUUUUAUUAAUAACCAAUUUUCAAAAAAGACAUCUAUACACCUAAAAAAUUGUAAAUAAAUUAUAAUUUUAAAAAUAAAAUUGGUUAUUAAUAACCAAUUUUAUUUAAAAUUUAAACUUGUAUAUUUAACAAUUCUCCACAUGUCAAUCAUUUAAACCAGUACAUUUAUAACCAAUUUUCUAUGUUAUUUAUUAUGGUAUUAAUAACCAAUUUUAUUUUUAAAAUUAUAAUUUAUUUACAAAUUUUUUUUAAGUGUGUAGAUGUCUUUUUUGACAAUUGGUUAUUGAUAAAAAUUUAAAUAGAGGAAUGAGGUAAUGAGGGUAUAUUUAUAAUUUUAUUAACAAUAUAUAGAUAAAUUUGAUAAUCUAAUAAUUUUUUUUAUAUGCUAGAAGAGUAUAAUGGUAAAAUUAUAAGAAAUUGGGGGUGUAAAUAUCUUUUUCAAAACGUUAGGGGGACUUUUGUCCCUUUACCUAAACGUUGGGAGUGUGUUUGUCCUUUUCCCUAUUUUUUUAAUACCGAUUCGCUCUUAAACUGUAUAAUUAAAAAAGAUAAAUUUUAAAAUAAAUUAUAAUACUGUCCUAUUUAAAAGAGUUAAAAACUAACUCUCUUUAAUUUCACAGCUUAAAAACAUAGCCAAAAAGAAAUUUUAGGGUGCCGGCAUUGAAAAAAGACACACAUAAUGCUUAUCAAAUCUAAGAUUAAAAUUCGGAAUUAAAAUUUGAGACGGAUAAAAAAUAUCGUAAAAGUAAUUUAGGAUGCCAUAAAUUCAUACUGGUGUCUAAUUCUAAACUUUAUCUCCAGAUUUCAAACAUUCAUCGCUUUGUGGCCCCUAUUUUCUUUAUUUUUCUAACUUUCUUCCGGUGGCGGAGCCCACCAUUGGAAGAGUUAAUAUUUUUUUUUGACAUUUUUUUCAUUGUCUAGCCCACCACCUUGUUUGACUCUUCUCUGGAAAAAGUUGCUUCUCUAUAUUUUUUUUCAGAACUUGACUAGCUUACAGAAUCUGUAAGCUACAGACUGCAGCAUCAGCCGUUGGAUGUGGAGUGAGAAACUAAACAAUAGAAGAUCGGACGGUGGGAUGACGGGAGAUGUUAGACAGGUCCUUUUUUUCAAUGCCGAACCUGCCGAGCCCACCAACCUGUUCUCAUUUUUUUUUUUUUUUUUUUCGCAAACCCUUACAUACAUUUUAUAUAUCUUACACCAAACAAUGAAUGGACGCCACACUACUCACUGUGUGAGUGGUUGUAAUAUAUAUUAAGGCCAUAUUUGCUUGGGGGUUGAGAAGUGAGGAGAGGAAAAGAAUUUAAUUUCUUUUAUACUUUUCAUUGUUUGGUUAGACUAAAUUUAAUGGAAUUGAAUUUUCAUUGAAAUUUAAUUUCCAUCAAUUUGAAAAAUUUGUAUUCCUUAUCAAUGACUAAGGAUUUCAAAUUUCUUAUCUAUUUAAACACAAAAAUUCUAAUAUUAUCCUCUAAACAAAAUCAAUUUUAAAUAAAUGAAAGUAUAAAUAAUUUAUAUUUAUUUUAUUAAAUUAAUAGGAUAAAAUUAUUUGAUAAAAAAAAAAAUAGUAAAGUGACUCGCCGGAAAGUCACCGAAGACUCGCUGGAGUUUCGCCGGAGAUGCGUUUUUCCAUCAAAACCGGUACCAAUAGAAUCCUCAUGAGCCGAUCUACAACUUUAUGGGGUUAGAAAUGCUAAUAUACAUUGUUAUUUACCUCAAGUCUUGUUUAAAUACUUGAGAAAAUUUUAACUCAACUAUAUAGUGUAUUUUCUUCAAAAUUAACAUUUAAAAUGAGUAAAUCGUCCAUUUUUUUAAUAAUUAUUAUGCAUUUAACGCGAUGAAAAAUGGUAGUCAACGAUGGUUAACGGCGCCGGUCAAUGACGAUCAACAGAGGUCAAUGCGGCAGCUGUUCAUGGCCAAAUGCUGUAAUUUUUAAAAAAUAAAUUUUUUAUUAAAUUAAGUAAUUUUUAGAUUAAAUUAAUUCAUAGUUUUAUUAUGUUUUAAUUUAUUAACAAUAUUAACAUUAAAGAUAGUGGGUAUAUUUGUCCAAAUAAAAAAUAUGUAAUUUCUUUUCCUUUCAAAUUUUAUGUAAAACCAAAUAAUAACAAUUAAUUUUUGCACUAUUUUCCUCUUAUCUCCUCUCCAUUUCUCUCCUUUUUUUCUCCUUUCGUCUCCUCCCUUUCUUAAAACCAAACACCACAUAAAUGUAUGUUAGAGGAAUCCUUUUCAUUUUAUUCAGGCUUUGAUUUCCUUUCAUCGGCGGGGUGGGUACUUUUAAAAAGAAAAUUAUACUUUAAAAAUAUUUUCAUCAUUUAUUUUUAAUUAAAUAUUAUAUUAUCAAAUUACUCUUUAUGAAAUUUACCGUUAUAGACAAUCAUAGUUACUAGAUACAAUUUUAUAAUUGUGUCAAAAAAAUCGUUUUUUAAUUUUUUUUUCAUUUUAAUUUUCUCCUCGACUUCACUGGUAAAUAUUUACUCUAAAAAAGAGUGGCUGUUAAAACAAAAAUAAAUAAAUAAUUGGGCAUUGGUUUGGAUAAGAUGGACAACAUUUAUUGGGACUCUAUAUCAUUGGGCGGUAGAACUUGGAGGUUGGACCGUUGCGCUUUUAAUAAAUUAAUUUGUAAGCAAUUUUUUUUUUAUUCGUUAAUAUAUUACAAUUAGAGCUCUACUGAUAUAAUCAGACGUCAAUAGGGUACUCUCCUCAAUAAUUCUAUUGUAGCACAGCUCAAAUAUCAACUCUUCGCUUAAAACUGAAGGGAGAUCUACCAUCACUAUUAAUACCGGAGGGGAAUCAAUUCUACCCCAAUGUCCAAGUUCUCAAUAAUUUUAGUGUGAACAAAAGUUCAGUUCAUGACCAUGAAAUUAAUCGGAGUUGUUCCGAUGGUUACUGCAAGAGUGUUGAUGUUUGAAGAAAGAGAGCUUGGGCAAAAUAAACUAAUUUUAGGGUAACUUUGGGAUUUUGAUGAGCGUGAUAGUAAAAAAUUAUAUUUUAAAUUUGACAGUGUAUUGAGUAAAUGAGUGUCCAAAAUAUUAUUUAGAGUAUAAAUAAUCUCACCUAAAAAAAUUAUUUACUUUAAUAAAGACACAAUAAUUUACGUGAUUUGACUUAAAAUCUACAUUUACGAGCAAAAGUUAAAAAUAACUUCAUUAAUAAAUAAAAAUUUACCAAAUUAAGAAAAAAUACCCUCAAAACUCAAAAUCCCAAUAUACCCAAUUAAACCAUUAGUAGAACACUCAAAUAAAAACUCUAUUCAAUUUCUCAAAUUACUUCCCUUAUAAUUACUUUCAACUUUCACACUUUAGGAUGAUCUUUAAAUGACAAACUGCCGCUCUGUCUAUGCCUCUAUGGGAGUGCGUGGCUCAACUAUUUCUCUCAAUUUUGGUAAUUUGUCAACUUGUUUAGUCCACCGAAUUCGGAACCCAAUCUUGUGCCGCCAUUUCUUAAAAAGCUCUCCAAAUGCAUUAAAGUGUCAAGUAUUUCAAUAACCAACUCUCUACAUUUGUUGGCAAUUUUAAAUGUAUUUAAUUCACUUUUUUUGACUUUUCAACACACAGGAUGUGGAGAAAAAUAAUUAUGUUUUCGUUCUAUUUUUUUCAAUAGUUAGUAUGAUAAUCAGCCAAAUAUAUACAACAUACCAUUCUAUAACUCUGAUACUUUAUAAUAUAUACCAAUCAAGCCCUAAGUCUAAGACUGUCUCAUAAAACUAUUAAAAAUUUUGAACCUAAUACUUCAACGCAUCACUAAAAGGUUUUUUAAAUUAGAUUUUAUUACUUAUUAACGAGUCAUAUCAAUCAAUAAAUUUUAAAAGACUUUUUAAGUGAGUUUUUUUUUUUUUAUUGAAGAGAGAAAAAAGUACUAUCUCAUUUGAAGGGUUUUUUAAAACCUUAAAUUUAUUCUACUCUUUCUCAUAAUUUCAUGAAGAGAAAGAAGUAUCAUAUUUGCUAUUGAUUUUGUAGAGAAUUUUUUUUGAUUAAAAUAAUAUAUUUAUACUUUUAUUUAAAGAAUCUUUUAAUUUUUUUCCACUCUUUCAUUUACAAUAUAUAGAAGUAAAUAAAUAUUUAAAAAAAAUUAAAUUUAGAAGAAUAUUUUAGUGAUCUUCUUAGAUCUACUGAGUGUCUGUUUGGUAUAAUUUAUGUAAUGCUCAUAAGUAUUUAUUUAAUCUCAAAAAUUCUUAUCAUAAUUUUUAUUACUAUUUAUUUUUUUUAGAGAUUUUAUAGUUUAAAUAAGUUAUUUUAUUUGUACUAGUAAAAUCUCAAAUUAGGAGUAGAGAUUGAAAUUUUUUUAAAUAUUAAAAUAUUUAAAAUAUUAUCUACUUAUUUGACUUUUUUUCAUAACAUAACUUUAAAAACUUACCGAUUAAAAUAAUUUCAUAAAUUUUUAAUAAAAAUUCUUAUUAACAAUCAACAACUAAAAUUUUGUAAGUAAAAAUUUUAUUUAUAAAAAUUUUGUUAUCAAAAACUCUAUUUAAAUAAAUUUUAUUUAAAAAAUUAUAUUAAACGGAGCCUUACCCUCGCGAAUCGCGAUACCAUAACUAUUUUAAAGAAAUCGAAGAAUAGAAAGAAUUGAAAAGGCAAAACCGCGUUGUAAAAGAGGACGUGAAUCAACGUACCGAGGCCACUAAUGACAAAUAGCUACACCUUUUGAAGUAGACUCCCAGUGUCUACCUAACCUAAACGGGUACAGUGACCUUUUAUUUUUUUUGACAAUAGAUACAGCUACGUAUGACUGAAGAAAUAAAAAAAAUAUGAAAAGCAUAGGGUAGAAGAAAACAAAGCUACCCAUUGGCUUCGUGUUGCAACUCUGCAACAGAAUGUCAAAUCGACAAUGAUAUUUCUUUGUCCAUUUUCACGUGCACAACCAUAAAAAAGAAAAAAAAUAUCACAAUUGUAUGUAUAUGCUGGUGGGUCCUUUUUCAAAUUUGACAAGAGGAUUUUAAUUUCUUAUGAAAUUUGUGUUACUUCAAAUCAUUUUAUAGAAAUUAGGGAUGGCAAUGGGAAGGGGAGGGGAGGGGACCAAUCUCAUCGUACCUAUUCCCGAUAUUUUACGUAUGUCACCGUUUCCUCCCCAUCCCCAUCAUAAUUACUUGAGAGAAUCUUUUUUCCUUCCCCGAAUAAUAACAGUGGAUUCUCGAGGGUCUCCGAUCCCCGUAUAACUAAUACAUUUUUUUUUUAUUUUUAGUUAAUUAUAUUAAAAUAAAAAAUUCAAACAAAAGUAAAGUUCGAAAUAUAUUUUACAUUAACAUUGAUCCAUUAUAAAAGUCACAUGCAAAAUACAAAUUAUCAAAAUAAUUAUCUUUGUCAAUCUUCAUAAUCCUACAAUAAAAAGAAAAAAAAUUUACUUUUAUAUCGACAAUAAAUAAAUGAAAUAAAUAUAGAUACUUAAUUAAUAUUUUUAAUAAAAUAAAAUUAAAAUUAAAACAAAAUUUUUGGGCUAAUAGAAUCUACCCGACCUUUUUAAUGUCUUAAAUAAAAAUUUAAGACUUUAAUUAGUUAAUUAGGCCUAGAAGUUUAAUAAUAUAAAUAUUUUAAUAUUUGUUACUUUUACCAAUAGUUAUAAUUUUAUAAUAUAAUUUAAAUUUUAUUAUUUAUUUACUAGUAAUUUUAAAAAAUAAAAAUAAAAUUAAAAGUUAAAAUGGGGAGAUGGGGAGGGGAUGGGGAUUCCACCUCAUCUCCGCCCCUUCCCCGAAUAAGAAACUGGGUAAAAAAAAUUUCCCAUCCCUUCCCCGAAUAAAAAAUUGGGUAUAAAAUUAUCCUCCCCGAAUAAAAAAUUGGGUAUAAAAUUAUCCUCAUACUCUCCCCAAAUGAGAAAAAUUCCCGAGAAUACCUCUCCCCGAAUGAGAAAUUGGGUAUAGAAUUUAUUCUACUUUUUCUCAUAAUUUCAUGAAGAGAAAGAAGUAUCAUAUUUGCUAUUGUUUUUGUCGAGAAAUUUUUUUGAUUAAAAUAAUAUAUUUAUACUUUUAUUUAAAGAAUCUUUUAAUUUUUUUCCACUCUUUCAUUUACAAUAUAUAAAAGUAAAUAAAUAUUUAAAGAAUUAAAUUUAGAAGAAUAUUUUAGUGAUCCUGUUAGAUUUAUUUAGUGUCUGUUUGGUAUAAUUUAUGUAAUGCUCAUAAGUAUUUAUUUAAUCUCAUAAAUUCUUAUCAUAAUUUUUGUUACUGUUUAUUUUUUUUAGAGAUUUUACAGUUUAAAUAAGUUAUUUUAUUUGUACUAGUAAAAUCUCAAAUUAGGAGUAGAGAUUGAAAUUUUUUUAAAUAUUAAAAUAUUUAAAAUAUUCUCUACUUAUUUGACUUUUUUUCAUAACAUAAUUUUAAAAACUUACCGAUUAAAAUAAUUUCAUAAAUUUUUAAUAAAAAUUCUUAUUAACAAUUAACAAUUAAAAUUUUAUUUAUAAAAAUUUUGUUAUCAAAAACUCUAUUUAAAUAAAUUUUAUUUAAAAAAUUAUAUUAAACGGAGCCUUAUCUCGCAAAUCAUGAUACCAUAACUACUUUGAAGAAAUAGGAGAAUGGAAAGAAUUAAAAAGACAAAAUCACGUUGUAAAAGAGAACGUGGAUCAACGUACUAGAGUCAUUAAUGACAAAUAAUUACACAUUUUGAAUUAGACUCCCAGCGUGACAGCGCUACCACUCUACCUAACCUAAAGGAGUACAAAAACCUUUUGUUUUUUUUGACAAUAGGUGCAGAUACGUACGAAUGCAUUAAUUAAUGAACAGCAGAGGGUAGAAGAAAACAAAGCUACGUCGCCAGACACGUUGCAGAAGGGAUUCUGGAAUGCAUUAAUUAAGGGGCCUUAAGUAUUCAAUAGUCCAAGAAAUGAGAAGGCAGAGCGUCGAAGAAAACAAAGCCACGUCGCCAGACACGUUGCAGAAGGGAUUAUGGAAUGCAUUAAUUAAGGGGUCUUAAAUAUUAAGUAGUGACAUCUUUUUUGUGUUUUUCCAUAAGAAGAUGCUGGAAUGCAUUAAUUAAGAGGCCCACUGUGAUUAAUUCAUAACUACUAGUAAUUUGUUUGUAUUCGAGUUGCUCCUUUGUAUAACUAGACGUGAAAAUGAGUGUUUGGUGGGGUGGUGGAGUCGAGGGUGCUAAGAGCAACAAAAAUAAAUUCUGAAGCAAUUGUUCUGACUCUUGAGUGCUUAUAUUUAUUUCAUUAAUCUCGGAAGAUAUGGCGUCUCAUAAGGUGCCUGGUAAUCGCAAAUUGAUAGGUUCCAAAUCAGAAUACUAUUUUAUGCUUUAUGCAGGUACUGAAGAAGUGAAGAGCUACGACCGGAUUGAUUUUGGUAUGUUUGGUCGGAGUUGGGCUCCCAUUGUUUCUUGGGCCGUGAUAGUUGUUCCCCACGAGCCGGAGAGUAAUUGGAGAAAAAAUUUACCUAAUCCAAGUGUCAAUAAUAUGGACCCCGCUAGCUCGCUUUGUGUUAUUGCAUCUGGUUCUUCUAAUGGUUAUAAGCCUAUAGGUGAUGAUAAAAAUGAUCGUCCUUUUCAUGGCGUUAGAACUACAGUUCCAUUGAACAAAUUGAAAUAUGAUCGUGAAGUGUUGCGCGGAGGUU
rnacentral:lncRNA from 1 species